rnacentral:lncRNA from 1 species
AAAAAUCAUCUAAUACAAAAAAAAUUAUUAAAACUGAGUGUUUAAUUGUAUAAAAAGUUAAAUGUUUAACAAAAUAUAAUUAUCACUAUACAAAUAUUUAAUUAAAUUUAUUAAGUUAUUUUUUUUAUAGUUAAAAAUUAAGUUUGUUGAUGGGUCAAUUUAUUUGGAAUAAUUUUUUUAAAUGUUGCUUGUGGGAUCAACAAUUAAAAGUAUUAUUUUUUUAUGGGAGUUUUAUCUCUUGUGCGUUAUUGAGAGUUAAUGUGCCAUUAGGAGAAGCCCGAUGGGCUUGACUUACAAAGCUGAGAGCACUUAAAUUGGUGGUCCUACAAGCCCGUAAAUGGUGACCUAUAUACUACAGCUAAGAGUUUCAAAACUCAACAAAGGCUAGUGCUAACAUCUCCUUAGUCAGAGGCAAAGUCAAAAUUUGUUCUAAAUGAGUCAAAUUUAAAUUAUAAAUUUUUGAUAGAGUUAAAAAUAUAAUUUUAUUAUUGUAUUAAUGUAAUAUUUUAUAAAUUUGAAAAGAUUAAAUUAUAAAAUUUUUGUCUUUAAAAAAAGCAUAAUUUAAUUUUAAAUUUUAGAAGAUAAAAUAUAAUUUUACAUUAAAUUAACUUGACUAAAGGGGUAAUUUUCAUUUAUGGAGGUGGUCGUGCGCCAACAAACAAUCUAAUUCCUCGAGGCAUUCUCCCUCUGUAAACAAAAUUACUCAUGAUAUGCUGAUUUUUGGUAGAGGUGAGAGAAAAAAAUCCCAGCACAACCCGGGAACAAUGCCAACCAUUGUUGAGAAUCCGAUUCACUGCCAAAACUAAAAAAUUGGACGCUCAACAAUUUUUUUUUUUAAAUAUUUUUUGAGCAAGUUAGCGAGAUUCGAUCACAAUUGUAGGAAACAAAUUAACAGUAAAUUAAAAUAAAAUGGCUUAAUCUUAAUUUAGAUCAAUUUUCUAAUUUUCUGCUUCGUCGGGAUUGUUUAUUCAAAUAACGAUAAAUUAGAGUUAGCCACUGAAAAUUAUAAGAUCAUUUUGCGGAAACAAGACAUUAAUACACGUAUAUUAGCACAAAUUUGUGUUUCAGGCAUGAUCCAAAUGCCACAGAUCAUUAACACUAGUAAGAAAACAAAUCAAUUUGUUAUUGCAACCCGUGUAGUCUAUUGGAAGAGUAUUAAAGUCUUGGUUUCGCUAAUCAAGUUCAACCUCGAGUGUUCAAGAAAAUAGAACUAUUACAUAACAAACUAACAGUUAUGGGACUUCAUUGUCGAUGAAGAACAAGCAUCAUUAACAGGCACUGACGAGACAGAUUAGGAAGAUAAAGGUGUUAUAAACUCAAAUCCUUGGUUCAGAAGAGCCCCGCACACCCAUAACUUCAGGUUUGGCAAGUUCAUUGACUGCUCACAAUCUCUCAUCUGCAGUUUUAUAUAAAUCAGUCUGCAAGUUUUGCAAUUUAAAACCUCAGCAGCUAUAUAUGGUACUGGAAUUCGCGUAAGAAUAGAAAAAGAGUAAAGGUUGACUUACAUUUAGAGUAAAUGUUAAUACAAAUCUGUCAGAAACAGUGGCCAAAUUGGAAUUCAGAACUUUGAAGUUAGUGAGGGACUCAAGGGCGUUGUAAAGUGAUAUUGCAACCCCUUCACCUUUGUUGCAUAUCAAUCUAAUGUAAAACUCUCUUUCCUCCACUUGAAACAUAUUCAACUGCAUUGUAAAGUGAAAACCAUUGUUUCAUUUCCAUGGAAAAAAAAAGGCAGUAAAUAAUAUCACAAUUAUUAAAAACAAGUGAUUGUUAUAUUACUAUUAUUAUUAUUAUUUUCUUUACCUGCAUUAUCUUCUUGCAAACUGGGUGGCUAUUGUUUCUUGCAACUCGAAUCUUAACAGGGUUUUCAAUUGAUUCUUGGUACCUUUCGGAUCCUGCCAAUGUUGCUUCAAGACCCGCAAUCUCAGCUUUUAGUUUCUUAGCCUGCAUUUGCAGGUCUUGCACAUACAAUACGGCAUCUCCAAUAAUCGAAGCCUUAUCCAUCUGCGGUAACAUAAAAUAAAGCCUUAUCCAUCGAAUUAUAUUCGCAACUGGAUCCAACACAUGUUAUACUUAUAUAUAUACGUAACACAUACCUUUGUUAUGUUAGGAACCAGGGAACGCAAUGCAUAGAGCUUCUCCUUCAUCCGACCCCUCCUCCGUCGUUCCGAGAUCAAAGUUCUCGACCGAUCAACCCUUGGUUUCUUUGUGGCUGUUGGUGUUGUGGGGGUGGUUGCCGUUGCGGUUGCGGUGGUUGUCCCGGAAGAGUUUUCCUCGUCGUUAUCAUCCUCACCAUCCUUCAUCAUUUCUCCAUAAAAAGUACUUGGCAAUGGAUCGAAAACAUAGUUAGGAUCCGGCACAAUGGUGCUUGAAGCAUCAAGGCAAAAAGUAUCCCCAGGUGUGGAACUAAUCUGCUUAUCCUCAACAAAACUACCAUUGAUAAGAUCGCAAUCAUAACCGACGUCUGCAUCUUUACUUUCACCACGAAUCAGAUCGAUGAACUGAUCAAAAUUCGGAUCAUCAAUGAAAUCAUAUAGUUCAAACUGAUUUGGGAACUGCAGAGGGUAAUUUCUCGAUGCAUCCAUUGGUUCUUAUGCACUGCCUGACUGUGAGAGGUGUAGGCUGUAUAUAUUGUAACUUUCAAAUUAAAAUCUGGACCUGCUUCACGUCAUUUCAUGGUGUGAACGGAAUCGACUGAAGAACCUAAGGCUGCCAGCGAUUUUUUUUUAAUUACUUCAAAUACUAGUAACAUAGCAACAUCAAUCAGGCCCUGGAAAUUGAUAAAAAAUAUAUAACAAAUAUAAUAUUCAACUCCAUUAAACAAACACUGUAUUGUAGUUGAGCCGAGUUUUUAGGAUUGAUGUUGACUUGCUGUUAUAUUCUGUAGGGUGACUUUUUCUUUAGAGGAAGACCGAUCUGAAUUCAGGGUUUCGCAAUUUCUGCAGAAUUACUUUAGUCAAACAUGUCUGAAUUCAAGGUUAAGCUUGAGAUGCUGAUCUUCUAACUGCUAUUAUGAGAUCAAAAUCAAUGACCAAGUUCUCCAAGUUUACUAUACUCCUCAAAUGAUCAGCAAUGACAUCAACAUUCGGUUUUACUUCUUUCUUUUUAACUUUCCGGGGAAUCUAUUUCCAGCCUCUGGUAUUCACAUUUUUGAGGUGACAUGCAGUUUUGUUUUAAUAAAGAUUUCAGGGCAUAGUUAGUUCAUCCAAAUUUCAUGGGUGUGAAUGGAAUCGCGUACUUUUGUUUAAUAAACAGUGGUUUUAAACACAAAUAAUCUACAGUUCAAACAUUUACAAGAUUAAGACAUACAUAUACAUAUCCACCAGAAGAAACAGCAAAAAUACUUGCUGCUGUCAGUACCUGUGAUUGUUAACUCAUCUACAGUCAAAUCCAAAGUUGAUAGAUUGCCUCUAAUACGUGUUGUACGCAAACAUCCAACAUAUACAAAAUGAAAACUCAAUGUCAAUAAGUUUAAUAAAACCCGACUUCGAUAUUAAGCAAACAAUCAUAGGCCGCAUGAAAUUUGCAUCAAACCUCAAAUAUUCUUUUGACUUUCUAUAGCUUGAAAUUAAGAUAACCAUAUCCAUCUCAUGCCUGGAUUGGCAUGCACACGCACAUAUAUUUUUCUUUAAAAGGGACUAUCAAAGAUGGUUCUCGAAAAAAAAUAAUUUUAUAAAUUCGCCAGAUAUAGAAACAAUGGUUGUUACCUGCACCGUAUAAUACUAACGAUUUAUUUUUUUAGAAUAUUCUAAUUUGAGGUGGGGACUUUGCUUGCAUCUCACCUGACCACUUAAUGUCUAAUAUUUUAUUUAUAGCAAGUUUAGUGCAAUUGAUAAUUUAAUUUAUGUGUUUAAUUGUUUAUUGACUAUUGCUUGGAUGCCAUACUUGUAUGUAAAUUUAUAUUAGACAAUUUUAAUUUAUUAAAUGUUGUUUAAUAAACUAAAAAUAAUUUAGUUAGUAAUAAUAUUGAUUAUUUAGUGAUACUUGAAGAACUACUGUUUAAAAUCAAGAUUUUAUUUAAAAAGAAUACCUAUUCGAAUAUUCUUAUGAGAUCAAACAGUAAUUAGUUUUUUUUUUUAUAUUUAGGCUUUGUGUAUUUUAUUUCUAAAAAGAAAAGAUCAUGAUUCCGUCAAAUAUGAAGCUUAGAAAAUUUGCAUGUGAGGAAUUCGAUGGUACUGCGCGUGGGGAAACGUGCCUUCCAUGAAGUUGAGGUGCUCUUUGGUUGAAAUAUGAAUAAAUUAAUGAAGCAACAUUGGGUCUCCACGGGCUUAAUUUAUUGUCUUUUGUAUUUUAAUGCUUAAUGUUCAAGUUUCAGGCCAGACUAUACAACAUAACCAAUUUUGACAUAGGCCAUAAGGGUUAUCUCGGCCUUGAUAUUAGCCUCGUCAAAAGUUUAUGUUGAGCUUACCUCUGAUGAUUUUAAGCUGGAAUUAACUUUGUUUAGAUAUUGUGAAUUGCGUUUUAGUUCGAUUGACAUCGAUAUUAUUAUCAAUAUAUUACAACAUAGAUUUAAGUACGGUGAAGUGUAUUAUCCUCCUAUUAAAGAAUUGAGAAGAGACUAUUGAUAGUUCUAAAUAUUGUAUAUAAAAAAAAGUAAAUAUAAGAGGAAUUCAUAAUGAAAUUAAAGUUCAAAAAGAAAAAUCUUUGUCAAGGUUUUCGUACUCCUUCCAAGAAAUAAGAAUAUUAUUCAAUUUUAAAUUUCAAUAUUCAAGUUUCAACUUAAUCCAUUCUUAACAAAUACUUUACAAUCGAACACACGUAGGUGAUCAUAUGACACGUCUUUACCAAACCAAACUCUAUCUGGCACAUCACUUUUCAAAGGAACACUAGGAGACAGAUUUAUCACAUGUGUCACUGUAUUCAAAGCUUCAGCCCAAAACGAUCUUGGCAACUUUGCAUCUGACAACAAACAUCUGACUCUCUCAAUCAAUGUUCGGUUCAUUCUUUCAGCUAAUCCAUUUAACUGUGGAGUCUUUGGUGGUGUUCUCUGAUGUCUGAUUCCCUGUCGCAGACAAUACUCAUGAAACGACCCUGUGUACUCGCCACCAUUAUUAGUACGAAUGCACUUCAACUUCUUCCCAGUUUCCCUUUCAACUGAUGCUUGAAACUGUUUAAACACCUCAAAGACUUGAUUUUUAGACUUCAAAGUGUAAACCCAUAGCUUUAUUGAACAAUCAUCAAUGAAAGUCACAAAGUAAAGUGCACCACCAUGUGAUCUUACUUUUAUCGGACCACAAACAUCUGAAUGGACCAACUCUAGCAACUCUGAUUUCCUAUGAGGAGGAUGGCUUCUAAAUGAAACUCUUCUCUGCUUUCCUGCUAGACAAUGAGCACAAUUCUUCAGUGUAGCAUUCUUUAAACCCGAAAGUUAAUUCUUUUUCGCUAAAUAGUUAAGCCCCUUCUCACUCAUGUGACUGAGUCGUUUAUGCCACAACUCAGUUGAGCUGUCAUUCACUAUCACAUUCACCGUCUCUCGAGAAGUCAAAGCUUGCAUCAAGUACAAAUUUGAGCUCUUCUUUCCUCGAGCCACAACCAAUGAGCCUUUAGUCAGUUUCUACUGCCCCUCACUGAAGGUGUUACAGAAUCCCUCAUCAUCAAACUUUCCUGUAGAAAUCAAAUUCAAACGGACAUCCAGUGCAUGUCUGACAUCCUUGAGAGUUAACUUUGUUCCAUUGUUACUCACCAAGCUAACAUCUCCCAGACCAAUAACCGAAACCAAACGAUCAUUACCCAUCUUCAAUACCCCAAAAUCACCAGGGGUAUAAGAUGUGAAGAAUUCCUUUCUCGACGUGACAUGAAGUGAUGCACCAGUAUCAAUCACCCCAACUAGUCUCGUCGCAUGCUAGGUUGACCAAAUUCUCAUCACAAAUAACUAACAGAUCUUCACGAGUAACAAUAGCAAUACGCUCGGAUUUUUCAUUGUCAUUCCGAUCGUGUUUAUCACCACCACCUUUCUUUUCUUUCUUCCACUUGAAGUAAUAUUUCUUGAUAUGACCUUUCUUACCACAAUGAUGACACUCAAGAUUCUUGUAUCUCAAUCUUGACUUGCUUCGGCUUUUAUCUCUACCCUUUCCAUCUUUGUCUCUGUUCCUCCCCCUGUUCUCGAUAACCAACACCUCGGACUGUGAUGUAGAACCCUGAGAUCUUCUUCUAACCUCUUCAUUCAACAUACCACUCUUAGCCAAAUCCAAAGUAAUAAUACCCUGUGGGGCAGAAUUAAUGAGCGAGACUCGAAAGGUCUCCCAAGAGUCUGGUAGAGUAGCAAGCAACCAAAGUCCUAAAAUCUCGUCAUCAAAUUUGACACCCAUACCAAGCAACUGAUUCAUCACACUCUGAAAUUCACUAACAUGGUCAGCUAUAGGCAUUCCUUCUUUAUAUUUCAGCGCCAUCAUUUUCUUCAGCAAAAACAACUUGUUAUUGCCCGACCUCGAAGCAUACAAGCUUUCAAGCUUCUCCCACAAUGUUCAAGCAUGUGUCUCCUGAUCAAUGUGGUUGUAAACAUUUUCUUCAACAAAUUGCAGAAUAAAGCCACACACUUGUUGAUGCUCAAAUUCCCAUUCUUCAUCACUUUUCGAAUCGGGUUUUUGAGUAGUAAAGAUCGGAAGAUGCAAAGCCUUCACAAACAACAAAUCCUUCAUUUUAUUCCGCCAAAGUUGAUAAUUUGUGCCAUUCAACAUAAUCAUCUUACUCGUAUUAAUUUCCAUAAUUAUCUGACACAAUAACCAAGCUCUGAUACCAGUUUGUUGGGAAGAAACUGAAGAACCGAAACAAAGCGAAAACACAACCGGUGUUCUUUCUCACCCUAUAACUCCUGUCAAAAAUUAUGGCAAGCACAAUAGCACAAAAUAUGUUCUCUAGCAACCUUAAUCAACCACAAAUCGACUAAUGUAACCACAACAAAAAUAAAUAGACACCGGUAUUUUUACGUGGAAAACCCCUCUAAAUCAAGGGUAAAAACCACGGGACUUUAGAGUCCGAUCAAGAGCUCCACUAUCAUCAAAUGUUCAACUACAAGAUCACAAUAUCAAGCCUACAACAAGCAUUCAACUCCAACAAGGCUAACAAUAUGUAAUCUUUAGCAAAAAAGAGAAAAAUGAGAGAAUAUCACCAAAAACGCAGCUGCUGAAAAACGGGUAUUUUCGAUGCUACAAGACUCGGAUGAAAAAUCCGACCGUACAAAGUCAAGAACACCUUAUCGCCUAGCUGCUGUCCAAAAAUUAGCUCAAUCGAACCGCGGAUGAAUCUUCGAUCGAAGAGUUGAUCACUGCUGCACCAAACUUGAAAAAUUAAUUUUUUUCUUCUCUCUUUCUCUCUGACGAGCUUCAAUCUCGCUCUGUGUUUAAUUUGAGAUUUUUGUCUCAAUAAAAUGCUGCCCACAUCCCACACAUAAAAAGCCAAAAAAAAUUGGCUUUUGACAAAACCAAAGAAGACAAAACAUUGUGGCAGAAAAUAUGGGUUUCCCACCUAACACAUAGGAAGUUCCAAUAUGUAAACAAAAGCUAUACAAUAAAAUCACUCUAUACCCCAAGCUAUACAAAUUCUAUUAUUUACAAUCUCAUCAUAUCUAAUUCUAGGAUCAAAUAACCUCAUACGAACUGCAGCUUUAAUCUUCUCCAAUAUUACUUGCUCUGACAAAUGAGUGUUAUAAAAAAAUCUAUAGUUUCGUUCCCUCUAUAUCUUGUAAAAGAAAGCUCCCCAUGCCAUUUGCAUUGAUCAAUUAUUCUAAUACUUGAUAAAUCGAUAUAUAAUCUAGUUUAAAUAAACACUAAUUGCUUGUAAUUGUUGACUAGAAUUAGAUUUCUAUUUUUUCAAGCUAUUAAUAAAUGGAAUCUUAGAUGCUUUGUUAUAAGAUUGUUUUAAAUAAUGAAAAAUGAAAAUAAUUUCGACAAGCUUCACCGUGGUUAUAAAAAAGGUAAAAAGAAAUAAGUAUGACGUUGGUAAUUAUAACCAAUUUAUUAAAUAAAAUUAAAUUUAUCUUUUUUAUGGAUGAUCAAAUCUAAAUUUCCAUCAUAUUGAUUAAAGAAAUAGAACUAUCACCAAUAUUUGUGGGUUAAACUUUGCUCACUGUUACAUACAAAAAGAAAAUAUGUUUUGAGUGGAAAUUUAUUUUUAUUAGAUUUGGCACCCACUGUUAUUAGGUAACGAUUUGUGCAAUUACACAAAACAUUUAUAACAUUUUAGGUGAUUAUAUAUACAAAGGGUAAUAACUUUAUACACAACUUAUGAAAUUUUUAAACUUCAUAAAUAUAGUUAAAAAUGUGAUAAGUGUCCUUUAUAUAUGUAAUUUUUAAAACUUUUUACUAUACCUAUAGAUCACAUGUCUUACCCUAAACUUACAUGUGGAGUUUAAAAAAACUCCACAAACCAUAUAUGAAUAUAAUUUUUUUAUACAAAACAUUACUUAAUUAUACAAAUUAAAUAAUAUUUUUUUAAUACAAUAUCUAUUUCUACCUAUAAUGUUUCGAACUCUUAAAUUGAAAUAAAAUACACGUAUAAACGUAUUCGAACACAAAUUCUUUUGAUUAUUAUAAUAACAACACUACCAACUGAAUUAAAGUUUAAUUAACCAUAUUAGAUAAUUUUUAUGUAACAUAAAAUAUAAUAAUACUUAUAAUAGCUUAGGCAAGUUAGAGGUGAUGAAAACAGAAAAGUGAGCUCUUAUUGAAAUUUUGUGGAACUUUAUAUUCUGUGAAUUACAAAAGAAAAGUAAAGUCUCAAUAACAACGCGAAUAGAACGAUUCAAACCGAAGUCAUACUUGAAACUAUAAACACCUUAACUAUUAAGCCAACACAUACAUUAGAUUCAAAUUUGAUUUGAUUUGCAUGAGAACGUGAGGAAUGAUGAGCCCAUGUUUUUGUACUUAAUAAUUUUUCUUGUUCGUUUAUAUAAGUGACAAGCACUUUGUGUAUUAUGAAUCUGCAAUACUACAGGGAUAGCAUAUGACAACUACAUCUAGAAAUUGCAACCAUGAAUAUGGUUCUUCGGCCCAUACGUUCUUUGCAUCUGAACUCAAUCAUUUUCUUCUCCUUAUCCCCUUAAUCAUUCAAAAUUAAUGGUGCGGGAAUAUAUGUUUGAGAUGAAUAUUUAAUAUCAAUACACCCGUAUUUUAACUUUUAUAGAUUUAAAGGAUUACUUUUAUUGUUAUUUAUAUUUAUACUUAAAUAUCAGACACGGAAAAUCUUUUAAAAAACAAAUAAUAGUAACACAUUACACAUGUGCUCCAGCUCGCGUUCGCCAAAAGUGAAUCAAUAGGGUUCUAGCUGGCGUGGCUUCGAUUUUCUCCAAGAAAAAGAAAUUAUAUUAAUGGAUCCAAAUCUAAUAAUAAUAAUAAAAAUAAAAUAAUUUUAUUAUUAUUUUUUUAGUAUAACUUCAAACUAUUCGUAAUGAAAAUAUCCAUAAAAUCAAUGUCGUAAUUUUAUAAUUUUUAAUAAACUAUAACUAACAAGUAUUUGAAGGAAGGAUGCGGAAUCCUUUAUCUACCUUUCAAACUUCAUUUAAAUCAUUCAUUGAAUUCAAAUUUGUUAUAUAUUGGCUGUGCAGUUAAAAUUUAACUAUAAUUGUAAAAUUUUCAGUUUUAUUAGUAUGCAAAAUAAAUAUAAAAACAUAUUUGAUCAAGUUCAAUACAUAGUAAAUAAAAAAUCAGACAGAAUUGAAAUUAAUCUAGAUAUAACUAGCUAAAGCUAAUAUAAGCUAGACAUACAUACAUAUUAUGUACAUGUUUAUGUACUUUAUGCACAUUUCAUAGAUGCACUACAGCAAAAUUGACUUUUAGCGGCGUUUUUUAAGGUCUUUAAGCCCCGCUAAAACUAUUUGCGGCGUUUUUACAAGCGCUGCAAAAAACGCCGCUAUAAACGGCGCCACAAAAGUUUGUGGCGUUUAAUUUUAAAAAAAAUAAAAUAUUAUAAAAGUCAUGAAAAAUAUAAAAAAUUUAAAAUUCAUUAUCAAAAUAUUGAGAAGAAUAAUAUCCAUGAUAUAAAUAUAAAAAUUUUCUAUUAAAUUUUUAACUAAAAAUAUUAAAAUAAAAAUAAAAAUUUAGAAUCAAAACUAAAAUAAAUAAUUAAAUUAAAUUAAAUAUAAAGAUAUCAAUGAAAUAAGGACUUAGUUCAUAACCAUGUAAAAUAUAAGAUAUUAUCAUCAAGAUAUCCGAAAAAGUUGUCAAUAUAGAAACCCAGUGCUCUCACCAGGCUUUAAACAACCUUACAAAUGCCCAGAGCAAAACAUUUACAGGGUCAAAAUCUCACAAUGUGUGGAAAUGCAGCUCUUAGCGAUGCCAAUCUCCGUUCACUGCCACAAAUCUCACCAGAAGCUAUGUAAAUCUGAGUUUCCUUAUCGAAACCUAAUGCUUGCAAAACUAGCAUCGCUUCUUCGGGUGUCAGAGGACACAACCCUUGUUGUCUCCUCUCUUCAGACAUUAUCUCUUUCUCUCUCCACCAAGGGUAUGCGUACCUGAAAGAAAGGGGUAACUACCUAGUUACAUUUCAAUAUCAUUGCGUCCUGAUUCUUGAAACUGAUAAUAUUAAGAUCACAAGAUACUUCAUAGAUUUAAAAGUGCAGAUUAAUAUCUUGUCAUCACUAGUGCAAACAUUUGAUGCAACUCAUAAAAAACAAGGCAAGGGUGCACCAUGGUCAUACUUUGGUUAUUUGCCUACCAACAGCAGAAGGCAUCAUACUGUUAUUUUUAUUCCCUGUCUGACAUUAUACUUUAGAGAAGUUCUCAUAUCUAAGUCGCAGCACACAGAUUUUCUAUCUUAUUUGUAGGAUGUGUGAAUGCUGGGGUUCACUAAUCACUACUUUGUGUCUCCUAAACAGAUGGUACACCACUUUUUGCUAUGAUAAUUUGAGUGUUCUGACAUGAAUAUUUUAAGCUAAAAAUAGUAAUUAAUAACGAGCAACCAAACCUGUUCUAAGUAGUACUUUUCAUUUGACCAGCUAACAGGAGACAUCUGAAAAGCUUGAAACCCAUAUUUCCUAUUAAACUUCUUUGGCAGCCUUUUGAUAAUCCGAACUUCAUCCAUUAGAGAAUCAAUGAAAUGGCUCACAUAAAAAAUGUCACCAAAAUCACUGCCAAACAGAUCAUGAGUCAAAGACAAUUUACAGCAGCUGAGAAAGAACUAAACAACCUUUCCAGAAUUAUAAAUUUACCUAGGGUCCGCCCAGAAUGAUGUCUUAUCAAGUUUUGGAACAACCAAAGUGAGAUUUAAAAGUCGAGCAACGAUUACCAUGUCACAGAUCUAAAAAGGCUUAAUCAGCUUAAAUUAAUAACAUAAUGUUGAAUAGAAGAACAAGGAAAAGAUGAGCUAGAGGAAAGACACAGACCGCAGCACGCAUUUGAUUCAAGCCCCCAUUGCAUGAAACUUUGAGAAAACCAUUACUUUUAUAGUUUCCUGCAAAAUGCAAAUGCAAAAGAAUGAAGGUCUUACUUUUACCAAAAGAUCAAACUGAGAAAGCAAAAAUAUUUCCUUCAAUAAAAUUCAGGGACACAUACAAGGUACCAAUGUUUAUUAUUUUUUCUUUCUGAAAACCCAUUGUUUCAGAAAACCUAUUUCUUCUUCCAAUUACACUAGAAAAAGGGAAAACCAUGUAAACCCUAAACCCUAGUAAAUGAGAAAUGAAAUUACCUCUAAGUUCUUCGACCAAAUCCUUAGAAAAAAUAGCACGAAACCCAGUAUACCUCGUUGUACAAACAGAGUAUAUUCUCUUUUUCGCUUCCUCUUCAUUACAAGAUCAGAACAAAUAAAAAAGAAAAAUAAAACUCAAAAUUUAAUGAAAUCUGAAGGAAUAAUUAUAAUUUAAAAACCUGCCGACAACAGAAGCGAGGGUUUUAACAUAGGUAUCGAUCAUUUCUUCUUUCAAAGGUUUUGGGGGUUCUGGAAAUUCCAAAAUGAUAAGCCAAUGUUCGGAAUCACGGCCAUAUAGGAAAACUGACGGUAAUCGGGAAGAGUUGUUCAAAGGGGAGUAGUGUAACACCCCGUACCCGAGACCGUUGCCGGAGUCGGACACGAGCGGUUCACAGACUAAAUUCGUUUACUAUCGCAGUCCAUUUUAAAAAUUUCCAGGCAGUUGGCUAACUGCGUCACUGUCACCUUAAAAAUCAUAUCUUGAGUUUCACAACUCGAAAAUCAGUUUCGUAAUUUUUCCAUAAAACUAGACUCAUAUGCCCAUCUACAUAUUUUUUUCUAGAAUUUUUGGUCGGGCCAAUUAGUACAGUUUAUUCGUUAAAUUCUCCCCUGUUACAGGGUGCGACUACACUGACCUUCAUGCAUUACGAUUUGGAUAUCUCCCUGCACAGAGUUUCAAUACUGAUGCCGUUUGUUUCUAUAGAAACUAGACUCAGAGAGGAAUAUAUACAUAUAUGGCAUGACUCCUAAUUAUCUCUGGUUAAUUUAUAAUGAAUUUCCAAAGUCGGAACAGGGAAUCCAGAAACCGUUCCGGCCCUGUCUCACGAGAACCUGAAUAUCUCUUAACAUACUGUCCAUAUGAUCGUUUCGUUACUUUCCUAUGAAAAUAGAUUCAUCAAGGUUUGCUUACAUAAUUUAUUCACUAUUUAAUUCCAUUCCUACUAUUUUUAGUGAUUUUUCACAUCCACAUCACUGCUGCUGCCAGCAUCUGUUUUUUUUUUUAAGGUAAACUUUACCUAUUUCAUGAUCCUCCAUGGAUCAACUAGAGUUUGUCAUACAUAUUCCAAAAGUGAUCAAGAAUAACCCUUCCCAUGGCUAACCGUUACCAACAUUUCCAUACCUCUCGACGGACAACAUACAAAACGAUUAUAAUGCUAUGAUCAAAGUAUAUUUAAGCCAUUUUCGCAUGGCUAUCCAAAUUUACACAAAACCGAAGGGUACAUGACCAACAACAAAAGGGUAGUCCUAUACAUGCCAUUUCAAAGUUCAACCAAAAUUGUACCAAAAGGGGGCUUUGAUAAUGUGGGAGACUUCGACUUCAAAAAAUCCCGAGUCCGAUAGCUGACGAACCAAAAUCUAUAAAACAGAGAUUCAAAGAACGGAGUAAGCAUUUAAUGCUUAGUAAGUUUUAAGCAGUGUCAACAGAUAACAAUCAAAUUAUAACAUAGUUGUUCGUAUUUUUUUAUUUCACUCUUCCUUCGGGCAUACCAUCCCUUUACCGAAUAUGCACAUCUCAUCAUAUACAAUAGGCAGAUAAACUUUCACAUAAAAGUGAGCUCAUGUGACAUAGAUAUAUCGUAUGAUUUCACAUAACCUCUCACACUGAUCCGAUGUCACAUAAGCAUAUAAAUUUUAUCUUAUAACCAUUUUUGUACAAUUUAUAAUGAUUUUCUAAAUACAGAACAGAGGAUUACAGUGUCAUUCUGCGCUGUCUCACACAAAUUUAAGUAUCUCAUUAUCGGAGAUUCUUUUGCUUACACGGUUUCUUUUAUAAGAAACUAGACUCAUUAAGAUUUAAUUUCAUGUCUCAUUCAGCCUCUAAUUCAAAUCCAUAAAUUUAUGGUGAUUUUCUAAAGUCACGUUACUGCUGCUGUCCUAAGCAGACUAUUUCAAAUUACCCUUAAAUUCCCAAGCUCAAACACUUAAGAACUUACCAUUUGAACUUAGAACAUAUCAUGGCCACAUCAUAUCUUAUUAAAUCAACUCAUCAUGUCCUAUUAUAAUUGAAUUUACUCAACAUUUAAUCACUUAAAACUUACCUCGGAUGUUGUCGAACGAUUUCGGCGGCUAUUCGACCACUUUUUCCUUCCCUUUAUCGGAUUUAGUUCCCCUUUGCUCUUGAGCUUAAUUCAAACAAAUUUAACUCAUUAAAGUCUCAUUUUGCUAGCUUAUGGCCGAAUAUACACAUAACUUAUGUACUUAUUCAUGUGGCCGAACAUACAUGUCUAUGUUGGGGCCGAUUGCAUCACAACACCAUACCAUUUCAAUUUUUGGUCAUGGUUAAACAAAGAACUUAAUGUCUCACUCAAAAAUGCUAAAAAGAAGAUUCAAGAAUCAUCAAUCCACCAUCACAUGCACCAUUACAGAGCUUCACUUUUAGCAUGCAAAUGAUAUCAACACCAAUCCACCUUGGCCGAAUAUCAUCUCCAUGACAUAGUAAAGAUUUGAACCAUGGGCUAUUUAGAACUCAAGCUAACUACUAAAACAUGCAUGCAUCUCAUGGAACAUCAUCAAACAUACCUUAGUCUAUCAAACCACCAUAGCCGAUUUCCUCAAAGCUCUUUUUCCUUCUUUUUCUUUCUCCUAUUCGGCCAAGAACAACAUGAGAGCCUUUCUCUUCUUUCUUUUUUUUUGUCAUGCAUGAGAAUGAUGAACACAUUUUUUUCUCUUUGUUUUCUUCCUUCAAUUUCUUAUUAGUUUAUUGCCAAUGCUUCUUAUUUUAUUCUUCCAUUAACACAACAUGUUUCAUGAUAUGUUUUGCCCAUGCUUCUUAUUUUAUUUUUCCAUUAACACAACAUGUUUUGCCCAUCAUCCCUUGUCAUGCACGAAUGCUCUUCGGGGUUUAGCAUGGAUAUAUCACUAGCACGAAUGCUCUUCGGAACUUAGCCCAGAUACAUCACUAGCAUGAAUGCUCUUCGGGACUUAGCCCGGAUACAUCACUGGCACGAAUGCUCUUCGGAACUUAGCCCGGAUACAUCACUAGCAUGAAUGCUCUUCGGGACUUAGCCCGGUUAUAGUAACUCGCACAAAUGCCUUCGGGACUUAACCCGGAUUUAGUAACUCGCACCAAUGCCUUCGGGCUUAGCCCGAAAUUAGUAACUCGCACAAAUGCCUUCGGAUCUUAGUCCGGAUAUGGUCACUUAGCACAAAGCCUUCGGGACUUAGCCCGGACAUCAUUCGAAUAACCAUGCACAUUUAACAAUAAAUCAUGACACAUUCGUAUUUCAUUUUCAUUAGCAAAACUCAAACACAAGACACUUAUCACUCUUGCAAUUUCGGCUCAAUAGCCACACACAAAGAGCAUGAUUUUGAUUUGCUUAAAACAUGAUCUAAUCAAAUCAUAAUUUAAGCUCUAUUACUCAAGAACUUACUUAUGUUAUACCCUUCUCAAUAUUGACACAUCAUAAGCAUGUCUCAGUCCUCUCAAUACCAUCUGCUACAGCUCGAUCGGGAUCGGAAUUCAUUACAAUAAAUAAACACAUUUUCAAUUGUCAGAAAUCACCACACUAUCAAAUAUUCACAUAAUGGCAUGUAUAGCUAGACCCAAACGUAUUACGGUAGUCCUAGAAUCGACUAAACCGUAGCUCUGAUACCAAUAAAAUUGUAACACCCUGUACCCGAGAUCGUUGCCGGAUUCGGACACGAGGGGUUCACAGACUAAAUUCGCUUACUAUCGCAGUCCAUUUUAAAAAUUUCCAGGCAGUUGGCUAACUGUGUCACUGUCACCUUAAAAAUCAUAUCUUGAGUUUCACAACUCGAAAAUCAGUUUUGUAAUUUUUCCCUGAAACUAGACUCAUAUGCCCAUCUACAUAUUUUUUUCUAGAAUUUUUGGUCGGGCCAAUUAGUACAGUUUAUUCGUUAAAUUCUCCCCUGUUACAGGGUGCGACUACACUGACCUUCAUGCAUUACGAUUUGGAUAUCUCCCUGUACAGAGUUUCAAUACUGAUGCCGUUUGUUUCUAUAGAAACUGGACUCAGAUAGGAAUAUAUACAUAUAUGGCAUGACUCCUAAUUAUCUCUGGUUAAUUUAUAAUGAAUUUCCAAAGUCGGAACAGGGAAUCCAGAAACCGUUCUGGCCCUGUCUCACGAGAACCUGAAUAUCUCUUAACAUACUGUCCAUAUGAUCAUUUCGUUACUUUCCUAUGAAAAUAGAUUCAUCAAGGUUCGCUUACAUAAUUUAUUCACUAUUUAAUUCCAUUCCUACUAUUUUUAGUGAUUUUUCACAUCCACAUCACUGCUGCUGCCAGCAUCUGUUUUUUUUUUAAGGUAAACUUUACCUAUUUCAUGAUCCUCCAUGGAUCAACUAGAGUUUGUCAUACAUAUUCCAAAAGUGAUCAAGAAUAACCCUUCCCAUGGCUAACCGUUACCAAUAUUUCCAUACCUCUCGACGGACAACAUACAAAACGAUUAUAAUGCUAUGAUCAAAGUAUAUUUAAGCCAUUUUCGCAUGGCUAUCCAAAUUUACACAAAACCGAAGGGUACAUGACCAACAACAAAAGGGUAGUCCUAUACAUGCCAUUUCAAAGUUCAACCAAAAUUGUACCAAAAGGGGGGCUUUGAUAGUGUGGGAGACUUCGACUUCCAAAAAUCCCGAGUCCGAUAGCUGACGAACCAAAAUCUAUAAAACAGAGAUUCAAAGAACGGAGUAAGCAUUUAAUGCUUAGUAAGUUUUAAGCAGUGUCAACAGAUAACAAUCAAAUUAUAACAUAGUUGUUCGUAUUUUUUUAUUUCACUCUUCCUUCGGGCAUACCAUCCCUUUACCGAAUAUGCACAUCUCAUCAUAUACAAUAAGCAGAUAAACUUUCACAUAAAAGUGAGCUCAUGUGACAUAGAUAUAUCGUAUGAUUUCACAUAACCUCUCACACUGAUCCGAUGUCACAUAAUCAUAGGAAUAGUCUCAUAGAUUGCUCUCGUAUGCAUCACAUAACUACCUUAUGAUUUAGUGCAAAUCAAGCUCACAUAUAAACUUGGAGUACAUACUUGUUUAACCUUUCGCAUUGAAUAUAUUUAUAAGCAAUUCUUAUUACGAAGUCUUACCCGGACAUAAUCUCCACACGAAGUUAUCGGGUCUUACCCGGACAAAAUCCCCACACGUAGUCAUCGGGUCUUUAGAGCUCGGAUAUAGUACGAGCACGAAGCUUACGGACAUUAAUCAGUGAUAAUAUUCUCGCAUAAAGCCUGCGGGGUUUUAACCCGGAUAUAGUACUGACACAAAUGCCCUUCGGGACUUAUCACAUUUAUACACUUUCACAUCCAUCACGUUGGCCACUCGGCCCUGUCGCAUAUAUACACUUUCACAUUCAUCACAUCGGCCAUUAGGCCUUAUCACAUAUAUACACUUUCACAUUCAUCACAUCGGCCAUUAGGCCUUAUCACAUAUAUUCACUUUCACAUUCAUCACAUCGGCCAUUAGGCCUUAUCUCAUAUAUGCAUGUUCACAUCCAUCACAUAGAAUCCUAAAUCAAAAUAUAGAUUUUCAUGUAUUCACAUCACAAUUAUCCAAAUAUACUUCACAUACCACAUAUACUUUCACGUAUACACACUGUCUUGGCUGAAUCUACAUCUAUCAUUUUCCAAUAUCACAAUUUAGAAUUCACGUAUGGGUUUAAUCAAUAGCUUAUGAGCAACUAAAACAAGUUUAUCAAGGUUUACAACACAAUCUCAAAUUCAGCACAAGCUGUUUUUCCUGAGCAAUAGUCACUAAAUUAUUUAUAACUGGAGCUAAAAAACUCCAAAUCACUUUCCGUUAAUUUUUCCUGAAUAUAGACUCGUAUAUCUUCCAUCCAUAAAAUUUCCAGAAUUUUAGGUUUGGCCAAUCAAUACCAGAUUUUUCUUAAAGUUUCCCCUGUUUCACUGUUUGACUAAUAUGACCACUCUUCACUACGAAUCAAAUUUCUCAUUUUACAGAAUUCAAAAUGUGUUGUAUUUGAUUUCAUUUGAAACUAGACUCAUUAAGGAGUCUAAGCAUAUAAAUUUUAUCUUAUAACCAUUUUUGUACAAUUUAUAAUGAUUUUCUAAAUACAGAACAGAGGAUUACAGUGUCAUUCUGCGCUGUCUCACACAAAUUUAAGUAUCUCAUUAUCGGAGAUUCCUUUGCUUACACGGUUUCUUUUAUAAGAAACUAGACUCAUUAAGAUUUAAUUUCAUGUCUCAUUCAACCUCUAAUUCAAAUCCAUAAAUUUAUGGUGAUUUUCUAAAGUCACGUUACUGCUGCUGUCCUAAGCAGACUAUUUCAAAUUACCCUUAAAUUCCCAAGCUCAAACACUUAAGAACUUACCAUUUGAACUUAGAACAUAUCAUGGCCACAUCAUAUCUUAUUAAAUCAACUCAUCAUGUCCUAUUAUAAUUGAAUUUACUCAACAUUUAAUCACUUAAAACUUACCUCGGAUGUUGUCGAACGAUUUCGGCGGCUAUUCGACCACUUUUUCCUUCCCUUUAUCGGAUUUAGUUCCCCUUUGCUCUUGAGCUUAAUUCAAACAAAUUUAACUCAUUAAAGUCUCAUUUUGCUAGCUUAUGGCCGAAUAUACACAUAACUUAUGUACUUAUUCAUGUGGCCGAACAUACAUGUCUAUGUUGGGGCCGAUUGCAUCACAACACCAUACCAUUUCAAUUUUUGGUCAUGGUUAAACAAAGAACUUAAUGUCUCACUCAAAAAUGCUAAAAAGAAGAUUCAAGAAUCAUCAAUCCACCAUCACAUGCACCAUUACAGAGCUUCACUUUUAGCAUGCAAAUGAUAUCAACACCAAUCCACCUUGGCCGAAUAUCAUCUCCAUGACAUAGUAAAGAUUUGAACCAUGGGCUAUUUAGAACUCAAGCUAACUACUAAAACAUGCAUGCAUCUCAUGGAACAUCAUCAAACAUACCUUAGUCUAUCAAACCACCAUAGCCGAUUUCCUCAAAGCUCUUUUUCCUUCUUUUUCUUUCUCCUAUUCGGCCAAGAACAACAUGAGAGCCUUUCUCUUCUUUCUUUUUUUUUGUCAUGCAUGAGAAUGAUGAACACAUUUUUUUCUCUUUGUUUUCUUCCUUCAAUUUCUUAUUAGUUUAUUGCCCAUGCUUCUUAUUUUAUUCUUCCAUUAACACAACAUGUUUCAUGACAUGUUUUGCCCAUGCUUCUUAUUUUAUUUUUCCAUUAACACAACAUGUUUUGCCCAUCAUCCCUUGUCAUGGCCGGCCACUAGUACUUAAAUGGGGGGAAAUUGACAUGCAAGUCCACCCCUUUGAUUACAUGCACUAUUAGGCCACUUGCAUUUGCCUAGCACAUUUCUAAAUUUUCUCACAUAAGUCCUAUCAACUAAAUUCACAUGCAAUUAACUAAAUCGAAGCUUAAAACUUUCACACAUUUAUAUUCACAUAUUUUAGGCAAUAAUUAUCACAUUCAAAUAAUUUGGUGACUCGGUCUAGCGGUCCCGAGAUCGCUUUCCGACUAGGGUCACUUUAGGGGUGUCACAAGUAGUCGAACCCGGAUGUCUUGGUUCGGGUCUGUAUUUUGGUUGAAUCGGGGAUGAAAAUUCACAAUUUCAUUUAUAGAAAAAAGUUGAAAAUAAGGAUAUACCUGGACAAUACCGGUGUGGUCUCUGAGAUUAAAAAAGGUAAGGUCGCCAUGGACCCGGUGGAGAGCGACCCAGCCGCAAAGACGGACCCGAAAACCCACAUCUUGAUUAGACAAAUCACCACAAUAAGCGGUACAAGAGACCUAACGGAGAGAGUCAGAGAGAGGGGGUAUGGGGGUAGGAGUUUCAGGGGAAACGGAAGGAGGAGGAGAUUGAAAAGUGGAAGCAGAAAUAGAGGAAAGGGUUCGGGUUCGACGGUUCCUUGGAAGCGAUUUUAGAGUUAGAAUGGAAGGGAAAACAGGGAGAGCUCUGGCGCGAAAGGAGAGGAUAAGGAAGGAUUUGAGAAGCACAGACAUUGUGUUCUUAAGGCUUUUUGAGGAAAGUGAGUGAAAUGGGGGUUCGGGUAAUCUUUUAGUUUAGGGAUAUAAGCAGAAAACACAGGGUUUAAUGGAUUGGGUGCUGGCGUGCGAAGCACGUGGCUUCUAUAUUGUUUCAAAAAUGGACUUUAAAAAUCCGUUUAAAGAUCGUUCCCAAUGGCUUUUCUCUAGUGCAACAGCUUGAUUCUCAAAUGCCUGGGCUUAUCAAAUUUUGCGGCGUUUUCACUAAAAACGCCAUUAUAUUAAUUUUAAAAUUUUUUUAACAUAUUUUUUUAUUUUUUCUCUUUUGGAAUUUUUUUUUAAUUUUGAAUAUUGAACUUUUUAAUUGAAAUAUGGACUAAAAUAUUAAUUUUUAAGUUUUUUAAUUUUUAAUUUUUAAAUUUUAAAUUUUAAAUUUUAAAUUUUUAAAUUUUUAAAUUUUUAUUUUUUGAGUUUAUUUUUUAUUUCGAUUUAAUGUGUAAUUGUAGACAUGAAAUUCUAAUUGUGGUUUAAAUGUAUAGUUAAAACUUUAAUUUUGAUUUAAUCAUACACAUUUAAAAAAAUAAAUACAUCAAUAUAUUUUUAUAUUGAAUAAAUAUAAAUAUUUAUGUAUCCAUGCAAUAUAUAAAUAUAAAAUGAUGUUAUAUCAAUAAUUGUGUAAAAAAAAUGAAAAAACGUGGAGACACAAAUAUAUAUUUUAAAAAGAAAAUGAGUUACAAUUAAGAAACGUGGAGACACAAAUGAGUGCAGAGAAUUUUCGUUCGUAUAAAUAAAUAUAUAUUUUAAUUAAUCAGUAUAGAUAAAUAUUAAAAUAGUAUAAACAAAAAACUAUUAAUAAAAUUUAAAGGUAAACUUAUCAUUUAAAACAUUUUUCACAAAAUAUCCCUUCAAUCCAUUAAACAAUAUAACACCUUAUUAAUAUAUAAAAAAUAUUUUUUUAUCAAAAUCAAGAUAUCUAUUAUCGAUAACAAUAAUUAAUUAUAGGGUUUAGGAUUUAAUUAUUGAAUAUGAUUCAAUUGAGAUUAACAUACUAUAUACCCAUGGCCAUUAAACCUUAAACCAUAAAACCCUAAACCAUAGACCUUAAACCUUAAAUAUUAAACCGUAAACCAAAAAAUAAAUUUAAUCAAUAUUAAGUAUUGCUUCCAUAAUUUAUUAUAUGAACAUAAGCUUUUACAUUAAUAUAUAUGUAUAUACACAUCAACAUCCAUGUGAUGUUUUUUGGGGUUUAAUGUUUUAGAAGUUAUAGUUUAAGGUUUAAGGUUUUUAGGAUUUAGGGGUUAUAGAUCAGGGUUCAUGAUUUUUUUGGGGUUUAGGGUUUUAGGGGUUAUAUGACUUUUAGCGGCGUUUUAUCAAAAGCGCCGCUAAUGCUCUAACUUUUAGCGGCGUUUUACCGAAAGCGCCGCUAUUGCUCCGACUUUUAGCGGCGUUUUACCAAAAGCGCCGCUAUUGCUCUGUUUUUAGUGGCGUUUUAACAAAAAGCGCCGCUAUUGCUCUAUUUUUAGUGGCGUUUUACCAAAAACGCUUCUAUUGAUCUGUGUUUUACAAUUUUUGUGGCGUUUUGAUAAAAACGCCGCUAAAACCCUAUUUUCCUGUAGUGAUGAAAAUCUAGAAUGAUUGUAUUAUUUUUUUACUAUAUUAUUAUUAUAAAUUUUGAUCAUAUCUAUUUUUUUAGAUAAUGUUUAAAUUUAUCUAUAAUUAUUUUCUAAUUUAUAAAUAGGAAAAUAAUACACUUUAAAAUACUAAAAAAACUUGCACCCACCUCCAUAUGUCAAUUAAGUUAAGGUUCAAGGUUGAAUCCCACAGUUAUCUAUUAAUUUAAAAACAAGGUUUUGGGUUAUAUUUACCGAUAGCAAAAUAACCCUCUCAUGUCUCAUCUGAGUAAUUAAUAUUGGAUGGAUCCAUCAUUUUAUGAAAUUGGCAAAGAAAAAUGAUAUCUUAUAAAAAAAAUCCGGAAAGAUUAUUUUUUGGCCCUAUCAUAGCUCACCGAAUAUCAGCUUGUUUAUUGUUGUCUUCCUAACUUGAAGCACGUAACAAACAUCGGAUAAUGUAAGAAAUAUAUAGUACUUAUUAUAUAUAUAUAUAUAACCUUUCAUUUCCAUUAAAUCCCUACCUUUUUUAUUAGUUUUGAUAAUUAACGUAUUUGUGUUAUAUUCAUAUUAUUCCUUUAUGUGUUAUAUAAAUACUUAAAUUUUAUUUUUAAUAUAUUAAAAUUUAUUGCUAUAUGAUUUUCGAAUAUUUCAAAAUUAUUAGGUCCACUUCUUGGUCACUCUCUUUGUUUUUCUCAAUAAUUAAGUUCAUGCUAUUGAUGAUACUGUUAAAAUAUACUAUAAGCUCCUAAUUAUUCGAAAAUUUAGAAUUUAAUUAAUGUAUUUUUAUUUAUAAGAAUUGAAUCUAUACUUUUCAAAUUUUAAAAUUUAUGUCUAACUAUUAAUAUUUUAUUUUUUAAUUAAAUUUAAAUUCAUUAUAAUGUUAUUUUUUUAAUUUCAUGAUUACCAAGUAAGUAUUUUUUUAAAUGUCAAACUAAUAAAUUUAACAAAAAAUAGUUGUAUUAACAAUUAUACUUGAAAUUUUAAAAUCUGAUAAAUUAAAGGAUUAAAUUUUUAAAAAUAAAAAUAUAAAGACAUAAAUUUUAAAUUUUUAAAAAUUGCAAUAAGAACAUAUUUUAACCUAAUAACAAGCAAGCAAAAUAUGUAGCCCUAAUUUUAAUUAAUUAAAUGAAAAAUAUAAUCACAUUCUCAUUUUAAUAUAACUUGCUCCAAUAAAUAACCGGAAAGGAUAAAUCUUGAUUUUGAUUGUUGCAUCAUUAAUGUCGAAAUUUCAAAUCAAAGUUUUGUUUUUUUAUGUCUUUAUAUUGCACUUUAUCUAAAUGUUAAAUUAAAGGUGUUAAGUAGUAUGAUCCAAAAAGAAAAAGAAAUUAAUUUUAACAUCUUGUUACGCAAUAGGUUGAUUGUUCCUGCAACAAACAAAUAGAUUUUGAUUGUAUCAAUGUUUUUUUUUUUUAUAAUAUCUAAAAUUAUUUAUAGUCUAUAUCUGAUUGAUUUAUAACUGGAAGUAUAAUACGAUUCAAUACACUUAAAUUCACAUUCUUCAAUAUUAACAAUAAUAUCAUAUCAAUCGAAUUAACACUCUAUUAACAUAUAUUAUUGUUGUUCAGUCAAUUUAUAAUGGAUUACGUAGAGUUGCCCUUGAUUAUUUCUCUAAGUGAAAAGAAUCAACGGCCUAGGUUGCAUCGCCAAAACCAAGAAAAGAAAAUCCACGUCAGCUAGAGGUCCAAUUUAUGGAAGACAAGUAGACAAGUAUGAGAAAAGUGUAAAAACAUUUGACUUUUCACAUUGCUAUGUGCUGUGUCAGCAAAGUAAAUGACCGUGAAAACAGGUGAAACGGUAAAAAAGCAUCACCGAAAACCAGUCAUGAGAGACCACGUGGCGACAGGAAUGUACAUGGUUUCGAAGAAGCGAUGAAGUGACCGUACGACGCCGUUUCCGUGAGAAUCUGAAAUUCUCAACUAUAAAUGCGUGGCGUUUGAUGAAAUGUCAAAACACAAGACGUGUUGUCUUCCCGUGUUUACACUCCACUGUCUUCUGCUCCAUCUCCUGCAAAAUUUCGUCUUCUUUUUCAAUUUUCCUCCUCCUUUGUGUUUUGUUUUGUUUACGAUUUUCAAUACCAAUACAUUUACUUUAGUUUGUUAUAGUUGUUCAGGAAAAGGAAGAAAAAAAAGGUGUUGGGGAGUGAUAACUAUUGAAAGAAAAUGUGUGGUAUUUUAGCAGUUUUGGGUUGUUCUGAUGAUUCUCAGGCUAAAAGGGUUCGAGUGCUGGAGCUUUCCCGCAGGCAAAUAUUAUUUUUUUUCUUUCUUACGUUUUCACUUUUAAUUUCGGGGGUCUUUUUAUUUUAGCCUAUUUUGACGUUUGUGUCUCUAAAUACGUUGAUAAACAUUUGCAAAAUAGGUUUAAAUUAUCUCUCUCAUAUUGGCCUUGCAAAAACAAGAGGGAAAAACAAACAAACAUGGUUACUACUUUAAAGAUAGAUCAUCUCCAAACUUGGAGGAGAACUAUACCAAGGGUCCUGAAGCAAUGACGUUACUACUUUUGAAACAAAAGAAAGAGGAAAAUUAAAAUAAAAGAAGGUGGCACAGUGUGUUUUAGGAUGCUAAUAAAAUCAGAUAUGAAUUUUGAGAAUAUUAAGUUCCAUUAAAUAUGUCACUGCUGAUAAAUAUAUGUAUAUCACUACUUAGUCAGUGAUUAUUCACGUGGGGUGUGGGCCGUAAUUUAACGAUCAUCUGGCGAAACAAAUAGUGAUAAAAGAGAAAUAAUAAGCUGAAAUAGCUAUCGUUGGCUGAUGUAUGAACAGGUUGAAGCACCGUGGUCCUGACUGGAGUGGGCUCUAUCAACAUGGAGACAGCUAUUUGGCUCAUCAACGUCUUGCCAUCGUCGAUCCUGCUUCCGGUGACCAGCCUCUCUUUAAUGAAGAUAAGAGUGUUGCUGUCACUGUAAGCCUCUCUAUGCUUCUUUCGUUUUAGUACUUAUCCAGUUUUAGCCCAUAUGAUCACUCAUUUAAAAUUUCAAACAUGUAACGGUUAAUUUAUAUUUUGUAAUCGGUCAAUUAUGUAUCUGGAACUAGGUGAAUGGAGAGAUUUACAACCAUGAAGAAUUGAGGAAGAAGUUGGUAAACCACAAGUUCAGGACUGGCAGUGAUUGUGAUGUUAUUGCCCAUCUGGUAAAGUCCACAUUGCUAAACCUUUUAGUGAUACAGCUCAUUACGGGUCUAAAUUUGUUAGUUUGUUUUGUAAAUUCAAGUGUAAAAGUUGUUGCUUAAACUUGCACUAUAUUACAGUACGAGGAAUAUGGGGAAGACUUCGUGGACAUGUUGGAUGGAAUCUUCUCAUUUGUGCUACUGGAUUCCCGUGACAACAGCUUCAUUGUUGCUCGUGAUGCUAUUGGGGUCACCUCCCUCUAUAUUGGCUGGGGACUUGAUGGUAUUAUAUCUUGCUUUCUGCAAUAUAUCUAAUAUACCUGUGUGAUUUAUAUAAUAAUUAGCUGUUAUUUCGCGGUUUUUUACUUUCUUCACUACUGAUAUUUAUCGAAUUGGCUAUUCAUGAUAGAAAAAAACAAGUCCAGAUUGAGAUUGGUUUGCUAAGUCAGUUGUUUAACUCUUAUAAUAUUCAGGUUCGGUUUGGAUAUCAUCAGAGAUGAAAGGAUUGAGCGAUGACUGCGAACACUUUGAGAGCUUUCCUCCUGGACACUUGUACACUAGCAAAUCAAGAGGAUUCAGGAGGUGGUACAACCCACCCUGGUUUUCCGAGUCCAUUCCUUCAGUUCCAUAUGACCCGCUUGUUCUCAGACACGCAUUUGAAAAUGUAAGCUUGAUGACUUGCAGCCAAACAUUUGACACUUUUUUUUCUCUUUUCAUUUUCUGCCAUUUUACCUUAUGGGUCAUAUGUAAUAUAUUUGUAGGCUGUGAUCAAAAGGCUGAUGACUGAUGUGCCUUUCGGAGUUUUGCUAUCUGGAGGCCUUGAUUCAUCAUUGGUUGCUUCUAUCACGGCUCGGUACCUGGCUGGUACCAAGGCUGCCAAACAAUGGGGAAGUCAGCUCCAUUCUUUCUGUGUCGGACUUGAGGUAAGUCACGUGGUAUAGGAUGAAACCUUGAAGCAUAGUUUUAAAGGAAUUAACUUUUCUUAAAAUUUGUUUAUGGAUUUCUACGCAGGGUUCACCAGAUUUGAAGGCCGCAAAGGAGGUUGCAGACUAUUUGGGCACUGUUCAUCACGAGUUUCACUUUACCGUUCAAGUAACUACCCAAGAUUUAGUAAUUCUUUUAAUUCAAGUCCUGGUGGUCCAACUUUCGCUAAUUUUCGCUCUAAUAUGGCAGGAUGGAAUUGAUGCGAUCGAAGAUGUCAUCUACCACAUUGAAACCUAUGACGUGACUACAAUCAGGGCGAGCACUCCUAUGUUUCUGAUGUCACGAAAGAUCAAGUCACUAGGAGUGAAGAUGGUUAUUUCUGGUGAAGGCUCCGACGAGAUUUUUGGUGGAUAUUUGUACUUCCAUAAGGCUCCAAAUAAGGAAGAACUCCACCGUGAAACAUGCCACAAGGUAAUAGAUCACCACACACGGAAGUAGCCAUCGGAAUUGGACUAUAAGGAUAUAAUGGAACUUGUCUUUUUAAACUUUUACAGAUCAAAGCACUUCAUCAGUAUGAUUGCCUGAGAGCUAACAAAGCAACAUCAGCGUGGGGAUUGGAGGCUCGAGUACCCUUCUUAGACAAAGAAUUUAUCAAAGUUGCCAUGUCUAUAGACCCUGAAUCAAAGAUGGUAUGUAAACAAGUAAUUUCUCCUUAAAACGACAACUAUAUUAUGAUACAGACUGACCAAGAAUACUUUUUCUGUAUUAUGAUACAGAUAAAAAAGGAUCAAGGACGCAUCGAGAAAUGGAUUCUUAGAAAGGCCUUUGACGAUGAAGAGCGUCCUUAUCUGCCAAAGGUGUCAUUGAAUCUUUUGUUGUCUUUAGUAUUUGUUAAUUUUAACGUUAGUACCCAAGUCAACUAACAAGUCCUAUUUGAUGACCUGCAGCACAUCCUCUACCGACAAAAAGAACAAUUUAGCGAUGGCGUUGGUUAUAGUUGGAUCGAUGGUCUUAAGGCGCAUGCCGCCAAACAUGUAAAAACCUUUCUAUUUGUCCUCAUAUUGCUUAUAAUUUAAUAAUUAUCUCCGCUUGGAAUCUCAAGUAACCAGACUGGUGUUAGGAUUAAUCAAUUCCAACCUUAUACUUUCAGGUUACUGAUAAGAUGAUACUUAAUGCUUCUUACAUCUUUCCUCACAACACGCCAACGACAAAAGAAGCAUAUUACUACAGGAUGAUUUUCGAGAGAUUCUUCCCUCAGGUGAUUUCCGAUUUGAAGUUGUUAACUUUGUCAAUAGCAUUUGAUUGCUGAAGUGAUCAUCCUUAUUUGCUGGGUUUAACAGAACUCGGCUAGAUUGACAGUCCCUGGAGGAGCUAGCGUGGCAUGCAGCACUGCUAAAGCUGUUGAGUGGGAUGUUGCCUGGAAGAACAACCUUGAUCCUUCAGGGAGGGCUGCCCUGGGAGUCCACCUCUCGGCUUACGAUGCAGAGGCUCCUCUCAUCAGCAACGUGCCAUCCAAGGUUAUCGAUAGUAUACCACGGAUGGUGGAAGUUCCAGGAGUUGCCAUACACACUUAGUACCUGCCUGCCUACUGGAGAGGGAUCGGAAUCAAUGAAAUCAAUAAGUGAUAGUAGUAUGUUGUGGCAUAUUCAUCAAAAUUCUCAUUUACUAAAAUACUUUAUGAUUGUUUGGAUCUUCCAUUCUUGUUGUUGCUUAUGUUUGAAUGUGUGUAACUGUUAUCAUGGAAGUCAAUCAGAUAUUUGAAUGUUUGUAACCAAAUAUGUUGUCUCCACUGGUUUAAUGGAGCAUUAACAAGUCUAGAUUCUAAACAUCAAUAUCAGACAUGAGCUAAGGAACCAUACAAGUAUCGAGGUGAUCGAGGAAGUUUCUAGUUGAAUUUGAAAGGGAAGAUUUAUGCAAGGAACUGAAAUCAUUAGUGUUGGAUUGGGACCAAGUUGAGCAUGAGCCAGUGUUGGGCUUGGACCUCUAAUCCCUAAGACUGGCCCACCAAUUUUCAUUUUUACUUUUUUGAAUUUUAAUUGAUUAAUUAGAUAAACGCCAACUGGUUAUAACCACCAAAAUUUUCUUUUGAAAAUAUUAAGUUUUAAUUGGAUUUAUUAAGUUGUUUUGAAGAAUUAAUUAUAUUUAUAAUUAUCCAAAUCCCACAAUUAAUAUUAUUAAGUUCCUUUUGAAAAUAUAUGCAAAUAUGCAAACGAGUGAAAUUGUGAUUAUAACUAAUGAAUUAUAGUUUAAAUUCUUCUAUUAGAUCCUAUACUUUGUAAAUAUUCUAGAUUUAGUACAUGUAAUUUAAUUUGAUUAAUUUUAGUCAUUAUACUUUCCGAAUUUUGAAAUUUUAGUCUUGAUCCAAUGGUAAUAAUUAAAUCAUUAGUAUUGUAUUAUGCAUAAUGUUAUAGAUUUAAUUUAGGUUCACCAAUUAGAUCAUUCUUAGUGACUAUAUUUUUUAAAUUUCAAAAUUUAGUCUUAAUGCAAACGAUAGACAUUAAAUCUAUUAACUGAUUUUUUAUGAAUAAUAUGUGAAAAUAACAAAUAUACAUAGCAACACAUGUGGUAAUAUGUUUGAGACAUCAAUUUUUAAAAAUAACAAAACUUAAUGAAUUUAAUGUUAUAAUUUGGUUAGUGUUAAAAUUUUCAAAUUCUAAAAGUAUAAGGACUGAAAAUGUAACACCCUUUGUAAUACCCCCUACCCGUAUUCAUUGCCAGAAUAAGGUACGAGGUAUUACCGGAGUUUACGAUUUUUUUUAUAUAUUCAAUAUAGCCCCUUUAUAAAUAUCUAACAUUGCCUGCAAUAUUAAAUCAAGACCAAAAAUAAUCCACAUCAACCAAUCCAAUUCAACAUAUUUUCAAGAUAGGUUAACGCAUAUAUAUUUACGCAUAUUUAUAAGAUAACAUCAUCGCAUACCAAAACCAAGAUUUGUUAGCCAUACCAUUGGUUGACCUUACAUUCAUUUCACAGAAUCAUUUACUUUAUCAGCUUAUACAUGCCAUUGAUUUCCAAAAUAAAGUUUUUUUUAUAUACCGAAAUCCUGAGGUUGAUAGUGUGAUGUGUCUCCGACCAAAUCCGACCUCCGAGCUCUUAACACUACAAAACAGGGGAAAAGGAAACAGGGUAAGCACUUUGUGCUUAGUAAGCUCAUGUAACAAGAAUUAUACUUACCUAAUAUUUUCAAUACAAUACAAUAAACAUUCAUAUAUCCAUUCAAUGCAUUAUUACCCUAACAUGCACAAACUCAACAUUCAAGUUAGUACAAUAAUUUCCAUAUACCAAUAAUAUAUACUAUGAUUGAUGAGCUCAUCAAUACCAUGAUUUCCAUUUCCUUGUUAUUUUUCCAUAUUUAUCCUGUUGAAUUUAUCGGAAUUUCGAUGGAUUUUCAGAGGUACACUUUUAGUUUACAAUUCUGGGUCCGUCAAUUCAUAUUCAUGUGCGCACAUUUCCAUUUCAGAGAGUACACUCCCGCGAACCUCAACCUUGCAGCGGGAUUACCAGUCCAGGCUAAAUCCCCUGUAAUAUAAUCUCAUAGAGUAUUGUCGGGAUUACUAGUCCAGACUAAAUCCCCUGCAACGACAAUUACUUUAAUGAGCUUGGAUCUGAAUUACCAGUCCAGGCUAAAUUCAGACCCUAAUUCGGAUUACCCGUCCGGGCUAAAUCCAUUUUACACAUAUUCUUCGGGAGGGCUAUAUCAGGAUAGGAUCACCCGUCCGGGCUAGAUCCUUUUUACUAUCAAUCCUUUUCAGAGAUCCAUCGAAUUUUCCUUUCAUUCAACCGGGAUUUCUUCCCAUUUUAUCAAAUAUAUCAAUGUUUCAUUAAUUUUCAUACAAUGAACUUUAAAAUCAUAUUCACAUCAAUAACAUACAAUCUCAAGCAUUUAAGAAUAUAAUUCAAGUUACACGAACUUACCUUGAUACUUGUUCGUGUAUAAAAAUCUACUAAUCCUGAACUUUUUCCUUUCCUUGAUCUAGCUUCGUAUUUGAAUCUUCUGGAUCUAAAUAAAUAAAUUUAAUUAUCAAUUUAAUACAUUUCAUGUUCAUAUGCAACAAUUUCUAUAAUUUUAUUAUUAUUAUUUAUAGUUUAUUUAAAGCUGUCUAUUUGAGUCAUAGUCACUAAAUUAUUUAUAACUCGAGCUACAUAACUCCAAAUUAAGAUCCGUUAAGUUUCCCUGAAACUAGACUCAUAUAUCUUCUUACCAUAAAGUUUUCAGAAUUUUUGGUGUAGCCAAUAAGUACAGUUUAUUCUUUAAAUUCACCCCUAUUGUAACGCCCCGUACCCGAGACCAUCACCGGAGUCGAACACGAGGUGUUAACAGACUUAAUUCAUUACUUAAACAGCUAAAAUAAUUUAUUUUUAAAAUUUCCAGUUCAACUAGCAAUCUGCAUCAUAGUCGCUUAAAAAUUCAUAUCUCGAGUUACAAAACUCGAAAUCCAAUUCCGUCAAUUUUCCCUUAAAAUAGACUCAUUUAUCUAUUUACUAUUUUUUUAUAGAAUUUUUGGUCGAGCCAAUUAGUACAAUUUAUUAGUUAAAAGUCUCCCCUGUUUCAGGAUUCGACUGCUCUGACCUCUGUGUAUUACGAAUCAGAUAUCUAUCCGUACAGAAUUUCAAUGACUAUGAAGUUUGUUUCUCUUAAAACUAGACUCAAUAAGGAAUCUGUACAUAUAAAGAAUUACUUCUAAUUAUAUUUGUACAAUUUAUGAUAAAUUUUUAAAGUCAGAACAGGGGAUCCAGAAAUCACUCUGGCCCUGUUUCACAAAAAUUCAAAUAUCUCAUAAAAUAUAAUUCAUAUACCUGUUUUGUUCAAUCCAUAUGAAAAUAGACUCAUUAAGAUUCAAUUUCAUAACAUACUCAUCAUUUAAUUCCAUUUCUACUAUUUUUAGUGAUUUUUCAAAUUUACAUCACUGCUGCUGUUAGAAUCUAUUUUAUGGUAAAUUUUACCUAUUUCAUGGUUUCCAUGGAUUAGCUAGCAAUUUGACAUACAUAACACCAAAUAUGAUCAUGAUUAGCCAUUCCAAUGGCUAAUCAUUACUAAGCAUUUCCAUACCACUCAAUAACCAUAUCAUAAGACCAUAUAUACAAAAUGAUUAUAAUGCUAUACAUGCCAUACUCAAAAUAUACAAGCCAUUAUGCCAAGAUGGUAUACAGAUAGUGUGAGCGAACCUCCGACCGUUCCCGAUUUCCGAGCUGGCUUGUCAAAACUAUAAGGAAUGAAAAGGAUGGAGUAAGCAUAAAUGCUUAGUAAGUUCACAUGCAAAUAGCAAGUAACAUAACCAUAUAAGCAAACAUAAAACAUCAUUUGCAUAAUCAUCACCAAGUUACCGAGACUCCAAAAAUGUAAAAAUCAUUAAAAACGAGGCUAGAACGGACUUACAAUCGAGCUUGGAAGCUUGAAAAACCCUAGCCAUGGUUUCUCCUUGCUAUAUUCGACCAUGGGGUUGAAGAUGAGCAAAAUUGGCUUUUAAUUUUGUAUUUUAAUUCAUUUUACCCCUAAAUGACGAAAAUGCCCUUACUACUAAACUUUUCAAAAAUUCCAUCCAUGUCCAAUUUUUGUCCAUAGACUUAUAAAUUGGUAAAAUUGCUAUUUAAUACCUCCUAAUUAAUAUUUCAAAACAAUUUCAUACUAGAAACUUCUAGAAUGCAAGUUUUGCAAAUUAUUCGAUUUAGUCCCUAAUUUCAAUUUAAGCAUUUUAUGCAUAAAAUUUCUUCACGAAAUUUUCACACAAUCAUGCAAUCAUAUCAUAGACCUCAAAAUAAUCAUAAAAUAAUUAUUUCUAUCUCGGAUUUUGUGGUCACGAAACCACUAUUCCGACUAGGCCCAAAAUCAGGAUAUUACAACUCUCCCCCCUUUAGGGAUUUUCGUCCCCGAAAAUCUUACCAGAAAAGUGGUCUUCACUUUUAAUCUCAUAUUCGGUGCCAAAGAACUUUCACUUAGACUGUACCUCCAAUACAUCUCUUUAAUUUCUGAUAUGAUCUGAAAGCUUACAGUCUCAACUCUCAACUGUUCUUAAAUUUUCAACCCUUAUCAGUUUCCCAUGAUAUCAUGACAUAAAACUCGGAUCAUAACUUGAUUAAUGGAGACCGAAAUUCUAAGAAAUCCAACAAUCAAAGAGACCUAAAAUUCCAUGAAUCUGAUGAGUAGGAAUUCAUUCAAUACAGAUAUGAUUUAUAGAUCUCGCUAAACAUUUAACAAUAGGAUACAUCACAUUUUCCUCUUUCCGCCAUGGAAAUAAUUCUGAUAUGGCCUCAAGAAUAAUCCUUUUCAUUUUCAUCCUAAUAUCAACACUGGCUAGGAUAAUUUUGAUAGAUCCCAAUGCUCGGCUUUAACCUCUUUACAACUUAGAUUUUAUGUAACAUCGAAUGCUCUAAACUAUCACAUUACCUCACUGUCUUGAAACACAUCACAAUUCAUACAACAGUACAUUACUGAAAGCCAAGAAGUCUUUGCUCAAUGUAGACUAGUCUAGUUCAGACGCUUCGGUUACCGAUAUUCUCAUCUAUCCGAACUCUGUCAACAUGUAAUAAACUUUUCAGCUUUCACAAGACGAAAACCUUAUCAUUCGUAGUGACUUUAACUAAUAUCCAACUCUUUCUAAUAAAUAUACACUUCUCGUUCAGACUAUUUACUCUUUUAUCUGUACAAAAUGAAAUUCUAUUAUCAGACUUGAGAAAAAUAAUCUUGACAUAAUUGUCACAUGAAAUCUUUCAAAUAAAUAAUUCACCAUACCGACUGAAACUCGCGCUUUUAUCACUUAUGCCUUUACUGAUGUCAAAUCCUUACACAGAAAUUAGAAAAAUCCUAAUACUAAAAUCACCACAUUACCAAGAUCAAAUCAAAAGUAUAGUCAUAUUUGACAUGAUUAUCACGAGCUGAAGAACGCACUUCGAACACGAGUCAUAAUUGACAAAUUAUGGAACAAAGAUAACAAGGAAACCGAAUAAAGAAAUCCAAGAUAGAGAAAUCCAGAAUAAAGAAACCCAAGAUAUGAUACUAUGCUGGAGAAUCGAAAACCAAACUCAUAGAGAAAAUACAGAAUACCUCAAUAAUUCUUCAAAGAAAAAAAGUCCAAAAGAAAACAUCAUUUAAUCCCACUGGAAUCAAAUAUAACAAGAACAAUAUAUCUUCCCAUACAUAUAUAUCAGAUGAAGCAUCAAGUAGAAGAAACAGAAACAUAAUAUCUUACGUAUUCUCUCAUCAAUUCUUAUCAGACGAAAUGAAAUAGAAUACCCGAUGAAAUAGAGCAAUAUAAAUUAUAAACCAGUCAGACUACCAAUGCUUUCAUCCAACACCAGAAUUAGAAGACAUUCCCAUAUAACAAGAAUUUCUUCAGAAGAUCAAUAGCCAUAGAAAUAUUUCUGAGAACGGGUAAACACAUAGAACAUCUCAAAAGAGACUGCUAAAUCUGUCCAGUCAUAACUAUCACACUCAGAUAGUUCACAUUUCAAAUAUCAUUUCCCCAACUAGUUCUGCCAUCACAAAUUUCAUAUUAAACCAUUCACUAAAGAAGGCCAGUUCUGAAUAAAUUUCGAUUUACACUUUUCUUGACCUUGCACCUGAGCAAUUCGAUUUACCAAAGAGAAUUCCUUCUCUAACUGGGACAAUGCAUAAUUCUAAUAAUCUUUAUAUCAAUCCGAUACUUUACUAGCUCUGACUUUACUUAUCAGCUCAUUUUCAAUCUCUGAUCAUACUUAUAAUUAUUCUAUCACUGAACUCUUUGGGUUCUCAACCGGAAACUUAUUCAAUACAAAUCUCAUGAAAUUCCAUUAUAAGUACCACUUCGGUAAGGGGGAGGGGUUGUAGGACCUCUGACUCGACUUUCUUAUACAUACACAUAUGACACAACUUCCAUCAUCAUAGCAAGAUCAUCAAAAUCAUGUCAUUCAUUCAGGUAAUGCAACAUUCAUGUUGGCUUACACCAAUUUUCCUAUUGUCCCAUUUAGACAAUAUACUUAUGCAUACAUUCUAUGUUUUCUAGAUAGCUUUACUUAUCCAUUCAUUUAAUUAAUUUAAUUCAUGCUCAUGACAUCAUAUAAGGCCAAACAAACAUAGAUAUUUGUAUCACAAUCACAACUUUCAUUUCGUGCAUCAUCAUGUACAUAUCAUUAUAAUCAUAUAAUUCAGUCCAACAAUUUAACAUAGAUAAGUUCAUUUCAUUAUAAUCCUUUAUCUCAUAAAAAUUGUAUAUCAUUAACAUUCAUCAACAUUCAACGUCCAAUCAAGACAAGGACAUUUUCAUUCGUAUCAUGAUAUUAUGACCUUUAUUCAUACCUCUACUACUUUCUAUUUAUUCCGUUCAUCUUAUCAAGUAAGCCACAUACACUACAUCGUAUGAGCAUUAAGCAAAUAUGGAUAUUUAUCACAACAUGAACUUUCAUCUCACAUAUUAUCACAUAUGUAUCAUAAACUUUUAUUCAUACUUUUCUGAACCGAGACUUAUCAUAAUCAUAACUUUACUCAAAUACCUUCGCAUAAUAUUGAACAUGGUCAGCGCAGCUCGGUUGGAGAGUACCCUGUCUAAAUAAGACGGUACUUAUACGCGUCGAAAGACAUCACGCUAUCACAGAUCAGUGGCAUGUAUAGCUAAACUUUUACACAUGCUAAGUUAGUCCGAGAACCGACUAAACCUGCUCUGAUACCACCAAAUGUAACGUCCCGUACCCGAGACCGUCGCCGGAGUCGAACACGAGGUGUUAACAGACUUAAUUCAUUACUUAAACAGCUCAAACAAUUUAUUUUUAAAAUUUUCAGUUAAACUAGCAAUCUGCAUCACAGUCGCUUAAAAAUUCAUAUCUCAAGUUACGAAACUCGAAAUCCAAUUCCGUCAAUUUUCCCUGAAAAUUGACUCAUUUAUAUAUUUAUUAAUUUUUUAUAGAAUUUUUGGUCAAGCCAAUUAGUACAGUUUAUUAAUUAAAGUCUCCCCUAUUUUAGGGUUUGACUGCUCUGACCUCUGUAUAUUACGAAUCAGAUAUCUCUCUGUACAGAACUUCAAUGACUAUGAAGUUUGUUUCUAUUAAAACUAGACUCAAUAAGGAAUCUGUACAUAUAAAGAAUGACUUCUAAUUAUAUUUGUACAAUUUAUGAUAAAUUUUUAAAGUCAGAACAGGGGAUCCAGAAAUCACUCUGGCCCUGUUUCACAAAAAUUCAAAUAUCUCAUAAAAUAUAAUUCAUAUACCUGUUUUGUUUAAUCCAUAUGAAAAUGGACUCAUUAAGAUUCAAUUUCAUAACAUACUCAUCAUUUAAUUCCAUUUCUACUAUUUUUAGUGAUUUUUCAAAUUUACAUCACUGCUGCUGUUAGAAUCUAUUUUAUGGUAAAUUUUACCUAUUUCAUGGUUUCCAUGGAUUAGCUAGCAAUUUGACAUACAUAACACCAAAUAUGAUCAUGAUUAGCCAUUCCAAUGGCUAAUCAUUACCAAGCAUUUCCAUACCACUCAAUAACCAUAUCAUAAGACCAUAUAUACAAAAUGAUUAUAAUGCUAUACAUGCCAUACUCAAAAUAUACAAGCCAUUAUGCCAAGAUGGUAUACAGAUAGUGUGAGCGAACCUUCGACCGUUCCCGAUUUCCGAGCUGGCUUGUCAAAACUACAAGGAAUGAAAAGGAUGGAGUAAGCAUAAAUGCUUAGUAAGUUCACAUGCAAAUAGCAAGUAACAUAACCAUAUAAGCAAACAUAAAACAUCAUUUGCAUAAUCAUCACCAAUACAUUCAUAUCAUAUUUUCAUUUAUCAUCUUACCAUAUUAUUGUUAUAUCGAUUUUUCAACCCGAGGGUUAAAUACAUACCUGUUCAAAGUAUCCAUUUCACAACACUCACCAAUACGUCCCUUUCAUCUCUAGUAUUCCUCCAUUUGAGUAGAACUUUACCCGUUGAACACAUCGGAAUAUAAUUCGGAUACAUGGAAAGUUUGCACAUAAGUGCCACAUAUGUAGCCAAGCUACCAUGUAACCCGCCCAUAAGUGAACUCAGACUCAACUCAACGAGCUCGGGCGUUCGCAUCCACAAGUGAACUCGGACUCAACUCAACGAGCUCGGAUGCCUAGUUACAUCUCUCGAACUCGGACUCAACUCAACGAGUUCGGACAUUCGCAUCUAUAAGUGAACUUGGACUCAACUCAACGAGUUCGGAUGCUCAACCAUCCUAGUGACAUGUCACUUGUAUCCUAAUCCAUUCCUAAGGUUCAACGGGAAUUUUUUCCCAAUCAUGUGUCUCAACCAUCUUCUACGGAAUGCCGAUACCGAUACUCGGUAGUAUUUCACAUUUUCCAAGUAUAUCACACAAUUUGACAUAUUAUCAAACAAUUAUCACGAGUAUAGUAUUUCAUAAUAAUUAUCAUAUCAUUUAAAUAACAUAAAAACAUUUAAAAUAAUAACUAUGUUACCAACAUUUACAUAUGAACUUACCUCGUAUGCAAAAAUGGCUACUUUUACCAUUUCGUCCACAACUUGGUAUUUUCCCCAUUUUAGCCCGAAUUUUAGUUUUCCUUGCUCUAUCAUUUAAAAUAUAGUCUAAUUAGGACUCACAUUAUUCAAAUUGACCCAAAAUCAUAUUUUGGAAAAAUUACAAUUUUACCCCUAAACUUUUGCAUAUUUACACUUUUGCCCCAAAGCUCGUAAAUUAAACUUCAGCAUAUUUUCUUAUGUUUUAUGACAUGCUGAUCAUUUUUCCCUUCUAUGGAAACAUCAAAUUCUCACUCUAACAUGUACUUAUGACUAUUAGGUAUUUUUACCGAUUAAGCUCUUUUGCUCGUUUUCACUUAAAACCGAGUAGCACAAGUUGUCUAACAUAAUUUAAAACCUCAUAUUCUAUCAUAAAAUACCAAAAUACACAAAUUUCACCUAUGGUUAUUUUUCCAAAUAUAAAACCUAGGUUAAAUUAUUGCUAGAAUAAGCUAAAUCAAGUUACCGGGACUCCAAAAAUGUAAAAAUCAUUAAAAACGAGGCUAGAACGGACUUACAAUCGAGCUUGGAAGCUUGAAAAACCCUAGCCAUGGUUUCUCCUUGCUAUAUUCGGCCAUGGGGUUGAAGAUGAGCAAAAUUGGCUUUUAAUUUUGUAUUUUAAUUUAUUUUACCCCUAAAUGACGAAAAUGCCCUUACUAUUAAACUUUUCAAAAAUUCCAUCCAUGUCCAAUUUUUGUCCAUAGACUUAUAAAUAGGUAAAAUUGCUAUUUAAUACCUUCUAAUUAAUAUUUCAAAACAAUUUCAUACUAGAAACUUCUAGAAUGCAAGUUUUGCAAAUUAUUCGAUUUAGUCCCUAAUUUCAAUUUAAGCACUUUAUGCAUAAAAUUUCUUCACGAAAUUUUCACACAAUCAUGCAAUCAUAUCAUAGACCUCAAAAUAAUCAUAAAAUAAUUAUUUCUAUCUCGGAUUUUAUGGUCACGAAACUACUAUUCCGACUAGGCCCAAAAUCAGGAUAUUACACAUAUUCUACUGUUUGACAAUUUCGACCCUUCUUCACUAAAAAUUAAUUAUCUCACAGUACAGAACUCGGAUAAUAUUCCCGUUGAUUUAUCCUGAAAAUAGACUCAUUAAGGAUUCUAAAAAUAUAAAUUUAAGCCUCUAAUUAUUUUUCUCCAAUUUUUGGUGAUUUUGCAAAGUCAGAACAGGGGAACCCGAAUUCAUUCUGACAUUGUCUCACAAAAUUCAUUAUAUAUCAUAAUUUACAAUUCAAUUGCUUACACCGUUUCUUCUAUAAGAAACUAGACUCAAUAAGCUUUAAUUUCAUUUUUUUUCAUCUUCUAAUUUUAUUUCUACAAUUUAUAGUGAUUUUUCAAAGUUAGUCUACUGCUGCUGUCCAAUAUUGUUUUAGUGCAAGCUGUUUGUUACCAUUUUUCCCUUAAGCUUUUAAUAAAUAACAAUUUCAUCCCUACUCAAUUAGCCUCUCAAUUGAGCUGAUUUUUCUCAAUUAAUACUUUAUUCUAUCACCUUAAACUAGUUUACAACCUUUAAGAAUAAAAAAUUCAGAAAUAAACUUUAAUUCCAAACAUUUUUACAAUUAGGUCCUAAAAAUCAAUUUCUAUUGAACUUACCUAAUAAAAUCAUCUCAUAAACAAAUUAAAGCUUUAAUUUCAUUCUAUUUCAUCAUAAAUUUACAGCACUCAACCAUGGUUACUUUCAAUUUCAUCCAUGAAAUCAAAAACUAAUGAAUUUAAUAGUAGGACCUAGUUGUAAAAGUCUUGGAAACACAAAAAUUACAAGAAAAAGGCAAGUAUUAACUCACUCGGUGCAAAAAUUAUGGAAUACCAGCUUAGAUAACCCUCCUAUGGCGUUUUUAGCUGCUGGGAUUGAAGAGAAAUGAAGAGAAAUCUAGAUAUUUCCUAUUUAGUCCUAGUUUUAUUUAGUUAAUUUUGCAAUAUUCCAAUUUUUCCCUUAAUUUAUCAAUUUUCUUGCUGAUUUCAUGCCCUUGUCGUCCAGCCCAAAUAAAUUUUGGGUCCAAUUCCUUUUAAACCCUCUCUCAUUAGACACUUAAGCUAUUUAAUCAUCCCAUCCAUUUUUACACCUUUUACAAUUUAGUCCUUUUCAUUUAAUUAACUAUCAAAACAUUAAAAUUUCCUAACAAAAUUUUAAUACCACAUUACUAACAUUUCAUAAAUAUUUAUAAAAUUAUUUUCGACUCGAUUUUAUGAGAUAUUGGUCCCGAUACCUUAUUUUACCCAAUUUCUUCAAUAAUUUCUUUUUCUAACUAACCACUAAAUCGGUAAAAUUUUUCUAUCAAUAUUUUCAUACGAUUUUCCUAUCAUAUCAAUUUUCAUGCAAAAAUAUUGAAAUAAAUUUAUCUUUAAAUCAGAUUUGUGGUUACGAAACCACUAUUCCGAUAAUCUUGAAUUUAGGCCAUUACAACUCUCCCCUCUUUAGGAUUUUCGUCCUCGAAAAUCUUACCAGUAAAGAGGUUUGGGUAUUGUUUCGUCAUUGCCUCCUCCGGUUCCCAUGUCGCUUCCUCAAUACCAUGUUUUUUCCACAAUACUUUCACUAAAUUUAUCUUUUUAUUUCUAAACUCUUUUGUCUCCCGUGCCAAUAUCUUGACCGGUUCUUCACUGUAAGUCAUAUUCGGUUGAAUCUCUACUUCUGUCGGAGAAAUAACAUGUGAAGGAUCUGAUUGAUAUCGUCGUAACAUAGAUAUAUGAAAAACAUUAUGGAUUCUAUCAAGUUCUGGUGGUAAUGCCAAUCGAUAAGCGACCGGUCCAAUUCUUUCUAUGAUUUCAUAUGGCCCAAUAAAUCUUGGACUCAAUUUACCCUUUCGACCGAAUCGAAGAACUUUCUUUCAAUGAGACACUUUCAAGAAUACCUUGUCACCGACUUGAAAUUCAAUCUCUUUUCGUUUAAGGUCGGCAUAUGAUUUUUGACAAUCGGAAGCUGUUUUUAGACUAUCCCAAAUAACCUUUACUUUUUAUUUUGCUUCCCGGAUCAAAUUAACCCCAUGUAUCUUCCUUUCACUGAGUUUUGUCCAAUAUAGCGGUGUUCUACAUUUUCUACCAUACAAAGCUUCAUAUGGAGUCAUUUUAAUACUGGACUAAUAACUAUUAUUGUAAGCAAAUUCAAUGAAAGGUAGAUACCUCUUCCAAUUACCUUCAAACUCUAGUAUACAACAUCGAAGCAUAUCUUCCAAUACUUGAAUUACACGCUCAGGUUGACCAUCUGUUUAAGGAUGAAAUGCAGUGCUGAAAUACAACUGAGUACCUAAGGCUUCAUGCAAUUUGUCCCAGAAAUUAGACGUAAAUCGGGGAUCUCUAUUUGAUAUAAUAGAGACAGGCACUCCAUGUAGCCUGACAAUCUCAGAUAUGUAUAGUUCAGCUAAUUUAUCUAAAGAAUAAUCCAUACGUACCGGAGUAAAGUGCGCCGACUUUGUCAAUCGGUCAACAAUCACCCAAAUAGCAUCUUUUUUCCUCGGAGACAAAGGUAACCCCGAUACAAAAUCCAUAGUAAUUCUUUCCCAUUUCCAUUCCAGUAUAGUAAUUGGUGAAGUAACCCCGAAGGUACCUGAUGUUCAGCAUAUAACUGCUUCUCUCGCAGAAUUUGCAACACAAUUCUCAAAUGUUUUGCAUGUUCUUCUUCAUCCCGAGAAUAAACCAAAAUAUCAUCAAUGAAUACUACUACAAAUCUGUCUAAGUACGGUCUGAAUAUCCGGUUCAUCAAAUCCAUGAAUACUGCAGGUGAAUUAGUUAGCCCAAAUGGUAUAACCAGAAACUCAUAAUGUCUGUACCUGGUUUUAAAGGCUGUUUUUGGCACAUCUGACUCCUUUACCCAUAACUGAUAAUAACCUGAUCGAAUAUCAAUCUUUGAAAACACAGUAGCACCUUUCAGCUGAUCAAAUAAAUCAUCAAUCCGGGGUAACGGGUACUUAUUCUUUAUGGUUACUUUAUUAAGCUGCCGGUAGUAGAUACAAAGUCUUAAAGACCCGUCCUUCUUUUUCACAAACAGAACCCGAGCACCCCAAGGUGAAUGACUUGGUCGGACAAAACCCCUGUCAACAAGCUCUUGCAACUGUGUCUUUAACUCCUUUAAUUCAGUAGAAGCCAUCCGGUACGGAGCUAUGGAAAUCGAAAUAGUUCCCGGAAUCAAAUCUAUGGAAAAUUUCACUUCUAUUUUUGGUGGCAACCCUGGUAAUUCAUCUGAAAACACAUCGAAAAAUUCACAUACUAUUAGCACUGCCUGUAUCCUUGACUCAGAUACCUUGGUGUCGAGUACAUAAGCCAAGUAAGCAUCAUACCCUUUUUUGACAUACCUCUGUGCUGCCAUUACUGAAAUCACAUCAGAUAACCCCUCUGUCUGAUCAGAUUUAACCCGGAGCAACUUACCAUUUUGACAUUUUAGCACAAUAUAUUUUUGUCUACAAUUUACUACUGCAUCAUGCUGGGUUAACCAAUCCAUGCCCAAUAUCACGUCAAAUUCAUCAAAUGGUAGUAACAUCAAAUCAGCCGGGAAACAAUAACCUCUUACCAUCAGUGGACAAUUUUUACAAAUUUUAUCUACAAAAACGGAUUGACCCAAGGGGUUCAAGACUUUAACCACAAAUUUAGUAGGUUCAACAGAUAAAUUUUUAACGAUUGCAAGUUUAACACAUAUAUAUGAAUGCGUAGAACCAGGAUCAAUUAAUGCAGUAAUAUUAGUUCCAAGUAAAGAAAAUGUACCAGUAAUAACAUCGGGUGCUGAGGCAUCUUAUCUGGCACGAAUGGCGUAUGUCCUAGCAGGUGCUCAUGCCUCAGACCUGCCUGCAAUAUCUUUCGUAGCUCCUCGGCUACCACUGACAUUACCAGUUGGUCGAGGUGGUCUGCCCCUCGAAACUAGAUUACUUAGCUUCGAUAACUACUCAGCUUCUUUUUCACCUCUUUCUGGACAAUUUUUGAGGAAAUGGUCAAAAGAACCACAUUGGUAACAAGCCCCGCUCUUUAAUCGACAUUCACCAAAAUGAGCUUUAUUACAGUACUGACAUCUCGGCUUAGGAGUGCCAACACUGCAAAUACUGGCCACUGAUAGAGUGGAAGGUCUUGGAUUAGUGCGUUGAGAACCUCGCUCUCUACCCGAAUACCCAGUGGCUGAGGUAGAACGAUCCUGGUACUUCUUCAAUUUCUUUGGAGCAGAAAAAUGGGAUUUUCCCAUCGGUCUUUUACUAAAAAUUCGAGCUUCUCUCUCAGCCUGUUUCUUUUCUUUGCUCAAUUCUUCUGCUUUAUAAGCUCUCUCUGCUAAUGUAGCAAACUCUCGAAUUUCAAGAAUUCCGAUCAGUAGGUUAAUGUCUUCAUUCAACCCUUAUUCGAAUCGUUUGCACAUUUCAGCUUCUGACUGUACCCAUUCUCGAGCAUAUUUACUCAAUCGAACAAAUUCUCUUUCAUACUCAGAUACUGAUCUGUUACCCUGUUUCAGCUCAAGAAAUUCUUUUCUCUUCUGAUCGAGAAACCUCUGGCUGAUAUAUUUCUUUCUGAACUCGGUCUGAAAGAAUUCCCAUGUAAUUUCUUCUUUCAGAACAACUGAAGCUUUAGUAUUCCACCAAUAGUAAGCUGUGUCCUUUGGCAGUAAGACGACACAUUUCAGACAUUCUUCUGGUGUACAAGAUAAUUCCACCAAAACCCGAGUAGUGUUUUUUAACCAGAAUUCAGCCCGUUCAGAAUCAUUGUCAACUGCUGCUUGAAAUUCUUCGGCCCCAUAUUUUCAAAUUUUAUCUACUAGAGCUUUCCCUUUUUUGACAGAUUCAGUACCUGUACCCUGUGGGAUCUUGGGAACCGGUGGAGGAGUAGGAGGGGGAGCUUGAACUUGCUGCACUACAGGGUUAGUUUUUAAGUAUUGACUAAACCAUUCAUUCAUCAUUUGAAAGAAUGCUGUUUUUGCCUCCUCCCCUCGACCCUCUGUCUCGGGCCUUCUACUGCUAGUUUCUUCUCUUUGUACUGAAGCCGGAGCAUGACUCCCAGCUUCCUCAGAUUGAGCUCGAUCGGUAGACAUUUACUAUAAGAAAAACACAUUUAAAUGGUCAGGAGAUAUCACACUAUCAAUAAUAAUUUAAAUGGCAUGUAUAGCUAAUCCCGUAUUUACUAUGUCAGUCCGAGAACUGGCUAAACCGUAGCUCUGAUACCAACAAAUAUAAUAACCCCUACCCGUAUUCAUGUCAGAAUAAGGUACGAGGUAUUACCGGAGUUUACGAUUUUUUUAUAUAUUCAAUAUAGCCCCUUUAUAAAUAUCUAACCUUGCCUACAAUAUUAAAUCGAGACCAAAAAUAAUCCACAUCAACCAAUCCAAUUCAACAUAUUUUCAAGAUAGGUUAACGCAUAUAUAUUCACGCAUAUUUAUAAGAUAACAUCAUCGCAUACCAAAACCAAGAUUUGUUAGCCAUACCAUUGGUUCACCUUACAUUCAUUUCACAGAAUCAUUUACUUUAUUAGCUUAUACAUGCCAUUGAUUUCCAAAAUAAAGUUUUUUUAUAUACCAAAAUCCUGAGGUUGAUAAUGUGAUGUGUCUCCGACCAAAUCCGACCUCCGAGCUCUUAACACUACAAAACAAGGGAAAAGGAAACAGGGUAAGCACUUUGUGCUUAGUAAGCUCAUGUAACAAGAAUUAUAUUUACCUAAUAUUUUCAGUACAAUACAAUAAACAUUCAUAUAUCCAUUCAAUGCAUUAUUACCCUAACAUGCACAAACUCAACAUUCAAGUUAGUACAAUAAUUUCCAUGUACCAAUAAUAUUUACUAUGAUUGAUGAGCUCAUCAAUACCAUGAUUUCCAUUUCCUUGUUAUUUUUCCAUAUUUAUCCCGUUGAAUUUAUCAGAAUUUUGAUGGAUUUUCAGAGGUACACUUUUAGUGUACAAUUUCGAGUCCGUCAAUUCAUAUUCAUGUGCGCACAUUUCCAUUUCAGAGAUCACACUCCCGCGAACCUCAACUUUGCAGCGGGAUUACUAGUCCAGGCUAAAUCCCCUGCAACGACAAUUACUCUAAUGAGCUUGGAUCUGAGUUACCAGUCCAGGCUAAAUUUAGACCCUAAUUUGGAUUACCCAUCCGGGCUAAAUCCAUUUUACACAUAUUCUUCGGGAGGGCUAUAUCAGGAUAGGAUCACCCGUCCGGGCUAGAUCCUUUUUACCGUCAAUUCCUUUUCAGAGAUUCAUCGAAUUUUCCUUUCAUUCAACCGGGAUUUCUUCCCAUUUUAUCAAAUAUAUCAAUGUUUUAUUAAUUUUCAUACAAUGAACAUUCAAUUCAUAUUCACAUCAAUAACAUACAAUCUCAAGCAUUUAAGAAUAUAAUUCAAGUUACACGAACUUACCUUAAUACUUGUUCGUGUCCAAAAAUCUACUAAUCCUAAACUUUUUUCUUUCCUCGAUCUAGCUUCGUAUUUGAAUCUUCUGGAUCUAAAUAAAUAAAUUUAAUUAUCAAUUGAAUACAUUUCAUGUUCAUAUGCAACAAUUUCUAUAAUUUUAUUAUUAUUAUUUAUAGUUUAUUCAAAGCUGUCUAUUUGAGUCAUAGUCACUAAAUUAUUUAUAACUCAAGCUACGUAACUCCAAAUUAAGAUCCGUUAAUUUUUCCUGAAACUAGCUAGACUUAUAUAUCUUCUUACCAUAAAAUUUUCAGAAUUUUUGGUGUAGCCAAUAAGUACAGUUUAUUCUUUAAAAUCACCCCUAUUCUACUGUUUGACGGUUUCGACCCUUCUUCACUAAAAAUUAAUUAUCUCACAGUACAGAACUCAGAUAAUAUUCCUGUUGAUUUAUCCUGAAAAUAGACUCAUUAGGGAUUCUAAACAUAUAAAUUUAAGCCUCUAAUUAUUUUUCUCUAAUUUUUGGUGAUUUUGCAAAGUCAGAACAGGGGAACCCGAAUUCAUUCUGACAUUGUCUAACAAAAUUCAUUAUAUCUCAUAAUUUACAAUUUAAUUACUUACACUGUUUCUUCUAUAAGAAACUCGACUCAAUAAGCUUUAAUUUCAUAUUUUUUUCAUCUUCUAAUUUUAUUUCUACAAUUUAUGGUGAUUUUUAAAAGUUAGUCUACUCCUGCUGUCCAAUAUUGUUUUAGUGCAAACUGUUUAUUACCAUUUUUUCCUUAAGCUUUUAAUAAAUAACAAUUUCAUCCCUACUCAAUUAGCCUCUCAAUUGAGCUGAUUUUUCUCAAUUAAUACUUUAUUCUAUCACCUUAAACUAGUUUACAACCUUUAAGAAUAAAAAAUUCAGCAAUAGACUCUAAUUCCAAAAAUUUUCACAAUUACGUCCUAAAAAUCAAUUUCUAUUGAACUUGCCUAAUAAAAUCAUCUCAUAAACAAAUUAAAGCUUUAAUUUCAUUCUAUUUCAUUAUAAACUUACAGCACUCAACCAUGGUGACUUUCAAUUUCAUCCAUGAAAUCAAAAAUUAAUGAAUUUAAUAGUAGGACCUAGUUGUAAAAGUCUUAGAAACACAAAAAUUACAAGAAAAAGGCAAGGAUUAACUCACUUGGUGCAAAAAUUAUGGAAUACCAGCUUAGAUAACCCUCCUAUGGCAUUUUUAGUUGCUGGAAUUGAAGAGAAAUGAAGAGAAAUCUAGAUAUUUCCUAUUUAGUCCUAGUUUUAUUUAGUUAAUUUUGCAAUAUUCCAAUUUUGCCCUUAAUUUAUCAAUUUUCCUGCUGAUUUCAUGCCCUUGCCGUCCAGCCCAAAUAAAUUUUGGGUCUAAUUCCUUUUCAAAUCCUCUCUCAUUAGACACUUAAGCUAUUUAAUCAUCCCAUCCACUUUUACAUCUUUUACAAUUUAGUCCUUUUCAUUUAAUUAACUAUCCAAACAUUAAAAUUUCCUAACGAAAUUUUAAUACCACAUUACUAACAUUUCAUAAAUAUUUAUAAAAUUAUUUUCGACUCGGUUUUACCAGAUAUAGGUCCCGAAACCUUAUUUUACUCAAUUUCUUCAAUAAUUUCUUUUUCUAACUAACCACUAAAUCGGUAAAAUUUUUCUAUCAAUAUUUUCAUACGAUUUUCCUAUCAUAUUAAUUUUCAUGCAAAAAUAUUGAAAUAAAUUUAUCUUUAAAUCGGAUUUGUGGUUAUGAAACCACUAUUCCGAUAACCUUGAAUUUAGGCCAUUACACCCUCUAACCCCAAACCGUCACCGGAACAGGGUUACGGAGCAUUACUGGACCUAUCGAACAAUUUACAAUUAAUUCAAAAUAAAUUACAUGCAUAUCUUGAUUUAAUUAUAAAGUCCCUAUAAUGGACCCUCGAGGUCCAAAUCACACGUUAGAAUCGAAUCCGGACUUGUUCAGAUACUUCAAAAUAUUUUUUUUUUGCGAACUCAAUAUAACCCCUUUUAUAAAUAUCUAACCUUCCUUACAAAUUCAAAUCGAGACCAAUCCAAACAAAUCAAUUCAUGAAUUUAUACAUCUCUAAUUAUAACAAACUAAUAAUAUAAAGUUCUAACAUUUUCAUGUUUAUAACAAUCUAACAUAAGAUGUCUAAUUGAUUCAUUUAAAUUAUCAUUCAACAAAAUUACCCAAAACUAUGAUAUAGACUAUGUUUAAGACAUAUGUAAUUGUAUGAAACAACCAUUACCAUCAUUUAUCAUUAAUAUUUAUGUAUCAAAAUAACUACAAAUUACAACCAAGGUACAUGCCAUUUUCAAAAGAGAAAAAUACAUCACCACGUAUUUGAGUUCGGGAUUGACUUGGAUGCUCAAUCGUUAGUCACUUUUGUACUUAACCUGCGCAUGGAAACAAACCGUACGCUGAGUAUGCACUCAGUGGUAUUUCUAUAAACCAACACUUAAAUAAUUAUAAAAUACAUAUAUAACACUACUCAAAUUCAAUAACUAUUCAAAUAUUCACCUUUCAAUCUAGUACUCUAUUUUAUUUCAAACUCAGUAUCAGUCAUUAUUUUUCAAUAACAAUUAUUUGUUUAUUUUUAUUCAAUAAUAAUCAGUUAUUCAGUAUCAAACAAUCAAUAACAAUCAGUUAUUUAGUACAGUAAUUUAGUCAUUCAGUAAGUAUCAAAUAUUCAGUGCAGUAGUUUAGUUAUUCAAUAACUAUCAAUUAUUUAAUACAGUAAUUUAGUUAUUCAGUAACUAUCAAUUAUUCAGUACAGUAGUUUACCCCUAUUAACAUAACUCGAACCUAGACGAAUACACAGAUCCAACCAACACAUCAGUACGGCACAUUGUGCCUCAUCGACUUUGCCGAAUUAAACUGUAACAGUACGGUACUUAGUACCUCAUCCAAUUAAACCGAAGUAACUAUAACAGUACGACAUACAAUGUGCCUCAUCAACUUGAAGUCGAAGUAACAGUACGACACUUAUAGUGCCUCAUCGACUCAAGGUCGAAGUAUCCCUGAACACUUCAAAUCCUAUGGCAUGCCAAUUAUAUCCGACCCAAUCCGAUACAGUUAAUAAAGGUAUUCAAUUCAUUUCUCAAUUCACAAUAAUUAAUUAUUUCAAUAUCCAUUUCACAAUAAUCACAAAUUCACAUACACUCAAUUCAAUAUCAAAACACUAAUACUUACCUUAAUAUCUUUCCAUACACAUAUAAUAAUAAAAAACAACAAUUUAAAUGUUAAGUUCAGUUUAUAGAAAUAUAAACCGUAAUUCUCGAAUUACUCUUCAUCAACUUUCUCCUUUCCUUUCUUUGUCGAGGUAUCCGGUAUUACGUUAGCUACGGAAAUUAAAAUAAUUAUACCAUUAAUUAUAGCAUUAAUUUAUAAUAAUAAUUGAAUUUCUAUCCAAUUUAUAUUUUAGUUCAGACUCUAUUUCUAUUCAAAUUUCAUUCAAACUCAAAUUUAACUACUAAAUUUUCAACAUAUUUCACUAAUUUUGAAUUUUCCUCAAUUUAGUCCCUACAACAUAAAACUUAUAGCUUACUUCGCAAUUUAAUCCCUUUAUUAAUUCUAACUUGAAAUUCUUUCAAUUAAAUCCCUAAUUCAUCUUUUUGCCCAACAUAAAUUAUACUUGAAAACCUAUAAGCUUCUAAACUAUCAACUUAAUUUUAUCAAAACCUUGUUUUAAGACUUCUAAAAUAUCAAAAUUAAGAGAAAAUGACUUAAUUAAGCUUACCAAUUAAACUCCAAGCUUCAAAUUCCCUAUUUUCCCUUUUUCUUUCUUUUUCUUCUUUCUCUCUCCUUACUCUGCUCUAUUGCGAAAGCUUCUCUGUUCUUUUACCCUUUCCUUUCUUUUGUCUUUCUUUUUAUUCUUUUAUUAUUUCAUUUGUUUUAUUUAUUUUAUUAACUUAAUAUAUUAUAAUUUAAUUAUUAUAAAUAUCUAUCAUAUAAUUAAUAAUAUAAUACAAACGUAUACAUUUACUUUUCUACAUUUGUACAUGAUUAAUACCAUACAUUUAUCAUAAUUUUAUCUAAUUAUUUCAUAAAAAUCUUAUAAAUAAUUAUUUAAUUAAUAACUAUCUUUUUAAUUUAAUAAAAAUAAUAAAUAUCUUUGAUAUUAAGUAAAUACAUAUAUAAAUUACAAAUGUAUAUAUUUUAUUUAGUACACUUGGAUUCAUUAUCACCUUACACUUGUCACCAUUUAAUUUAUUUGUCAUAUAAAAAAUCUUAUAAUAUUAUAUAAUUAUAAUAAAUAUUUAUUUAAAUAAUUAUAAAUAAUAAUAAAUAUUUAUUUACUUUAAUAAAAAGUAAUUAAAUAAAUAUGUUACAAUUGUAUAUAUAUUAUUAUUACAUUUAUAUAUUUUAUUACCAUACAUUUAGCUUUAAUUUAUAUAUAUUUCAUUAAUUUAAUAAGAUAAUAUCAAUUAAAUAAUAAUUUAUACUAUUAUAUUCUAAUAUUAAUUAAUAAUAACUUAAACCAUUAAAAAUCUUUAGAUUUUUCUCAUUGUUUUGCCGCCUCAACUAUUACUUAAUGGCAUAUUUGCCAUUUUGGUCUUUUAUAUUUUCUUUUAAUCUAUAAUUCAAUUUUUACCCCUUAUUCAAUCUAGUAUUUCUUCCUAUUUUCUCUUAAUUAAGCUAAAUCACCUAAUUAAAACUAAUUAAACACACCACUAAACUCAUAAAUAUUUUUAAUAAUUAUUUACAAACCCAUUUUGUUAAGACGGAGGCCCGAUAAUGUACUUUCCCGAUGCCUAAUCAUUACAGAAAAUAACCAAAUUAAAGUACAAGUAUUAAAUUCAUAAUUUAUGUAAAGUAUAGGGUCCACUAGCAGAAUUUGACCUAAAUUAUAAUAUUUCCUUUAGAAGGGUUUGUUUGACCUAAAAUUAAGUACUGAAAUUUUAUUACUAAAUUUUAUAAGUGUUGAAUAUAUAUUUAAAAAUAUUUAUAAAUUAGUAAAUAUGUUAAUUUAAAUAUUUCAAUUUUUAAAAUAGUAAUUUGUUUUUUUUAAAUCAACUCAAUAUUUUCUACAUUAAAUGAUAAGUACCUACCUACCUACUUAUUUCGGCUUUUUUAGAUAAAUAAUCCAAAAAUAUUAAAAAUUUAUGAAAAUGACCCUAGUACUAGAUUAUUUAGAAAAAUGACCUAGUUUCUACAAUGUCAAUGGGUGCAACCACUUCUCAUGGCAACACACACCAAAAUGUAACGGAAUCAUUGCCUCACAAUUAAAAAAAUCAUAAGAUGAAAAAAAAUCUUUUUUUUAGUACCGCCACUUCUCAAAGCGACAACCGUAUAAAUUUUCACCCUAUUGUAUUUUUCAUGCAUAUUUCACGAAGUAAAUGAAAAAUAUAUAUAUUAUUGAUUUUUGGUGCUGCAUCCUUUAAUGAAGGCACUAAAUUGAAUAAUUCUCUUUUUUUUUUUACAUUCUUUUAAGUGGGGGCACCAAAUUGGAUUAAAAUAAAUAUUUGUUGGUGUUGCCUCCUUCAUCGGAGUCACUAAUAUUAGUAAUUUUUUUAUCUCUGGUGACUACUCUAGAUGUGACGGUACCAAUAUUUUCUUUUUGGAAUUUUUUUGUGUUGCCACUUCACAUGGAAUCUCCAAAAAUAGUGGCAACGCCAAAAAAUUUCAAAAAAAAUUCUACUACUGCCACAUCUCGAGUAGUCAUCAAAGAGAUUUUUUUUUUUACUGUUAUUGGUGGCUUCAUUGAAGGAGGCGACACCAACCAAAGCUUGGAACCAGAAAAGAAAAUUUUAUUCAAUUUGAUGUGUAAUGACCUGAAAUUCACGAGCACCGAAAAAGUGAGUUAUAGGGCCUCCGUCUUAGUGAAAUAAGUUCGAAAAUAAUUAUUAAAAAUAUUUAUGAGCCUAGUGGUGUGUCUAAUUAGGAUCUAAUUAAGUGAAUUUAGCUUAAUUUAGAGUAAGUAAUAAAAAGAAUUAAAUUGAAUAAAGGGUAAAAGUUUAAUUAUAAAGCAAUAGAAAAUAAAAAGGAUUAAAAUGGCAAUCAAGCCAUUGACUACAAAUGAGGUGGCAUAUUGGUGAAAUAAAAUCAAAGAUUUUUUUUAGGUUUUAUAUAUUAUAAUGAUUAUUAUUAUGGUUUUAUAUUAAAUUGUUAUGAUUAUUUAAUUGAUAAUAUAUUAUAAAUAAAUUAAAUAGAAGACAAUUGUAUGUUAAUAAAAUACACAUGUGUAAGAAUUGUAUGGGUACAUUUGUAAUUUAAAUAUUUAAUUACUUAUAAUUUAAGUAUAAAAAUAUUUUAUAAUUAUUAAUUGUGUUAAUUAAAUCAUGAGAUUUUUAUUUAAUAAGCAAAUUAGAUAAUGACAUUUGUAAUAAUAUAAAUAUGUACACUUGUUAUAUAAUUAUUAAUUUACUUAAUAUUAAAGUAAAAGAUAUUUUAAUAUAUUGUAUUAAUAUUAUAUUAUGUUAAUAAAAUAAUAAAGUAUAAAAGAAUUAAAGAAAUAAAGAAACAAAAGGAAAUAGAAACAGAGUUGAAAACGGGAAGCAGGGGAGAAAAAGAGAAAGAAAAAGGGAAACAAAAAUAAAAGAGAAAACUAAGGAUUUGAAGCUUGGAGUUAAUUUGGUAAGUCAAUUAAGUCCUUUUUAGUUAAUUUUGAUGUUUUAGGAGCUUUGAAACAAGAUUUUGAUGAAAUUAAGUUGAUAGUUCAAGAGUUCAUAUGUUUCCAAGUAGGGUUCAUGUUGGAAAAAUUAUGGAAUUAGGGAUUUAAUUGAAUGAAUUCUAAGUUAGAAUUGAAUAAGUGAUUAAAUUGUAAACUAGGCUAUAAGUUUUAUGUUGUAGGGACUAAAUUGAAGAAAUUUCGAAAUUAGGGAAAUAUACUGGAAAUUUUAUAGUUAAAUAUAAGUUUAGACAAAAUUUGAAUAGAAAAAGAGAGUGAAUUGGAUUAAGAAAAUAAUUAAGUUUAGUUAGGAUUAAAUUGGGAAUAAGGUAGGAGUUGUUUAGAAAUUUAAUUAUUUAUUAUAAUUAAUGCUGUAAAUAAUAAUGUAAAUUACUAUUAUUUCGUAGCCAACAAAGAACCGGAAGCAUCAGCAUCGAAAGGAAAGGAGAAAGUCAUCGAGGACUAAAACGGGAGAAUUACGGUGUGUAUUACUAUAAUUCAAAUUUUAAUUAUUAUUGAUUGCUGAAAUUUUAAUUGUUAUGUAUGGUAAAUAAGACUUGAGGUAAGUAUGUGAAAUCGAUAUGAAUAUUGAGUGAAAAUGAAAGUGAUAUAAAUUGAAUCAAAUUGAAUUGAAUAAGUGAAUUAUGGAAUAUGUGAUUAUUUGAAAAGUGUAUUGAUUGAAAAUAGAUAAAUUGUGACAAAUGUAUGGUGUUGAUGGUAUACACUUGUGUGAAAAUUAAUUUGUAUAUGAAUUAAGAUAAUAGAUAUUUGAAUUGAAUGAGUAUUGAAUAAUUUUUGUGUAAAUGAAAUUGAAAUUAGAAAAAAAAGUAAAAUAAUACCCUAUUAACUUGUCGGACUAGAUUCGAUACAAAUGGCAUGCCAUUGGAUUUGUGAUGUGAUGAAGAGAUUGUAGUUCAGUCGAGAAGAUGUUUCUAUCAUUAUAUACUUCGGUUUAUCCGAAUAGGCAUUUAAUGCCUUAUUGGUGUGUUUGGGAGGAUAUAUUAUACCGGUGUGUUAUGGAGGAUUUACAAUAUUUCAGGUGUGUUUGGGUUGGACAUUCUAGUGUGUUUGGAUGGAAUCCGCGUAUCUGUCAUAGUCCGAGCUUUGUUAAUAGGGUAAAUAAUUGAAAUGAAAUUUUGAAAAUGAGAUUAUUUGUUUUAGCACUAUUGAAAAGUACGAGAAAGAAUGUAUGAACUAAAUUAUGAAUUGAGUUAAUAUGAGAAAAAUAAAUUAUGAAUUUAAGAUUUAUGAAGUAAAAUAAUUAUAUAUAAAAGUAGUUUAAAUAAUUAUAAAAUUUAUGGUUGAUGUUUGUAAUUUAUUAAUGUUAAAUAGUCUUGAUUUAUAGUAAUACCACUGAGUAUAUCCAUACUCAGUGUACGGUUGCUUCCGUGCGCAGGUUAGUAGAAGUCAAGUGUCCUGGCUCAGCAUCUAGAACAAUCCCGACUCCAAUACAAAUUUGGUGAUGCAUAUUUUUCUUUUGGGUAAAGGUGGCAUGUACAUAGGUGUUGUUUAGUCACUUGAAUAUGUAUAUUACUUUGGGUAGUGAAGGAUGAAUUAUAAAAUUUAGAUGGUUAAAUGAAAUGGUAAGGAAAGUACAUGAUGUUUUGAUACAUGAACAUUAAGUUGUUAAAUGAAUGAAGUUUUUAAUCAAUUUUGAAUGAUGCUAUGAUAAUUAUUAAGUUAAAAUUUUGUUAAUGAUAUAAAUAUUAGUUAUAUGAAUGUGAAAUAUUGGUGUUGGUUGUUUUGGUUUGAAUUUGCAGGAGGUUUAGGUAAAAAUAAGCAGAAAUGCUGCCGAAAUUUUUAUAAAAAAAAAUUUGGAAUACUCGAAUAAGUCCUGUUCUACUUUUAAUACGUGUUUGAACUUCGAGAGUUCAAGAUAGGGACUUAAUUAUUAUAUUAUACUAUGAAAGUUAUAUUAAUUGUAAAUUAUUCGUAAGUUGUCUGAUAUGUCCGGUAAUGCCUCAUAACCUCGUUCCGGUAACGGUUUGGGGUUAGGGGGUGUUACAAUUGUUGGUAUCAGAGCUAUUAGGUUUAGCUGAUUCUCGGGCUAAAUUAGGCUCGGAAGUGAGUUUAGAAGUACAUGCCACUGUCGAGUCGAAAUUGAGUCGGGAUUUUUGGAUGCUAAUGUAUUUAUUUGAUUUUGUUUUAUAGAUAAAAUGUCAGAUGAAAGAAUGGAUAAUGUUGAACAGGAAAUGUAUACUGGAAGUCGAGAAUUAGAAGAAACUGAAUCUGUUACACCUAGUGUGAAUCCGUUCAAUAAUCAAUCUCCUAAUGUAGGGAGAGAAAGAAAUACCUCACAAGUGUUAAGAGAUAUAGCUGAUGAAUUACAGCAUAUAGUGAGAACUAUACCUGCUACUACAUCUGUACCUACUGUCAGGCAGGCCCCGAUUAAAGAGCUACGAAAAUAUGGUGCCACGGAAUUUCAGGGAUUAAAAGGAGCUGAUCCAUCCGUUGCUGAAAAUUGGAUAGAAACAACAAAAAGAGUUUUGCAACAAUUAGACUGCACCCCCCGAGAAAGUCUGAUAUGUGCUGUAUCACUGUUACAAGGAGAAGCGUAUCUCUGGUGGGAAUCUAUGGUUAGACAUUUGCCGGAUGAUCAGGUAACUUGGGACUUGUUUCGAAAAGAAUUUCAGAAGAAGUAUAUUAGGGAAUUGUACAUCGAAGAGAAAAAACAAGAGUUUUUAGUGUUGAAACAGGGGAAUAUGUCAGUACUGGAUUAUAAGCGAGAGUUCUCUAGAUUGAGCAGGUAUGCUUUAGAAUAUGUUCCAACCGAGGCUGAUAGUUGUAAACGAUUUCUAUGGGGACUACGAGAUGAAAUCAAGAUUCAAUUGGUAAGUCUCAGAAUUACUGAACUUGUUGAUCUGGUUGAGCGAGCAAAAAUGAUAGAACAAGUACUGGGUCUGGAUAAAAAAUCAGAAAUUGGUAAAUCAGCUGGGAAACGUAUGGGAACUACUAGUUCUAAUCUAUUACCGAAGAGAUUCAGAGAAUCAAGAAGUGACUGGAGAUCCAGUUUUAGUUCAGAUAGAGGUGGUAGAAGCAGAGGUAAACAGAUGACAAUAUCUACUAGUAGUGUGAGAGGUCCAUCCCGAAGUAUAGAAAUUCCAGACUGUGAGCAUUGCGGAAAGAAACAUUUAGGUGAAUGUUGGAGGAUAACUCGACGAUGUUUUCGAUGUGGGGCCACAGAUCAUUUCAUUCGAGAUUGUCCGAAAGGUGAAAGUGCCACACCUGCAACAUCUCAAAGAUCAGUACCUACUGUUCGUGGCAGAGGAUCUAGUAGGGGUGGUUCAGGUUCUGUGUCUAGAGGUAGAGGUGUCAGAAGAAACAGCGAUAUAGUUACACAACAGUCAGAGGCCAGAGCGCCGGCCAGAGCGUACGUAGUCCGGACCCGUGAGGAAGGCAAUGCACAUGAUGUUGUUACAGGUAUAUUUCUAUUGUAUUCUGAGCCUAUUUAUGCUUUAAUUGAUCCGGGUUCGUCACACUCAUAUAUAAAUUCAAAACUAGUCAAAUCGGGGAAAUUAGAAUCUGAAAUGUCUGAAGUUUCUAUAGAAGUGUCUAGCCCUUUGGGACAAACGGUGUUAGUAGAUAGAGUAUGUCGGAGGUGCCCGUUAAUAAUACAUGAUAAAAUGUUUCUUGUGGACUUGUUGAUCAUGCCUUUUGGUGAUUUUGAUAUCAUUUUGGGUAUGGACUGGUUAUAUGAACAUGGGGUAGUUUUGGAUUGCUAUAAAAAGAGGUUUAGUAUUCAGACAGAAAAUGGGAAUAGAAUUGAAGUGAAUGGCAUCCGUACCAGUGGUUCGACACGUAUUAUUUCAGCGAUGAAGGUUAAUAAAUUACUGUAGCAGGGUUGUCCAGCAUACUUGGCAUAUGUUAUUAAUUCUGAUUCAGUUGGGAGUCAGUGCAGUCAGAUUAGGACUGUACGUGAGUUUCCAGAUGUAUUCCCAGAAGAAUUACCGGGCUUACCACCUGACAGAGAGGUUGAAUUUGCUAUUGAGGUGUAUCCAGGUACAACACCAAUUUCUAUACCUCCGUAUCAAAUGUCGCCCACUGAGUUGAAAGAGUUGAAGGUGCAGUUACAAGAUUUACUAGAUCGUGGAUUUAUUAGACCAAGCAUUUCACCCUGGGGAGCUCCAGUAUUGUUUGUUAAAAAGAAAGAUGGCUCUAUGCGACUUUGUAUUGAUUACCGACAGUUGAACAAGGUAACAAUUAAAAAUAAGUACCCGUUGCCUUGCAUUGAUGAUUUAUUUGAUCAGUUGAGAGGAGCUUCUGUGUUUUCGAAGAUUGACUUAAGGUCGGGUUACUAUCAGUUGAAGGUAAAAGAAAGUGAUGUACCGAAAACAGUUUUUCGUACAAGGUAUGGCCAUUAUGAGUUCUUGGUAAUGCCAUUUGGGUUAACAAAUGCCCCAGCUGCUUUUAUGGAUCUCAUGAAUCGUAUCUUUCAGCCGUAUUUAGAUCAGUUUGUGGUGGUUUUCAUUGAUGAUAUAUUGGUAUAUUCGAAGACAGAGGCAGAACAUGAUCAGCAUCUUCGAAUAGUUCUACAAAUUUUACGAGAGAAAUAGUUAUAUGGAAAGCUUAGUAAAUGCGAGUUCUGGUUAUCAGAAGUGGUAUUUCUGGGACAUGUAAUAUCUGCAGAUGGAAUUCAAGUUGAUCCGAAAAAGAUCGAAGCAAUUGUUCAGUGGAAGGCACCAAAGAAUGUAUCGAGGUACGCAAUUUUCUCGGUUUAGCUGGGUAUUACAGGAGGUUUGUAAAUGGAUUCUCGAAGAUAGCACUACCAAUGACUAAACUACUGCAGAAGAAUGUUCCUUUUAUUUGGGAUGAUCAGUGUCAGAAAAGUUUUGAAACAUUGAAGCGAAUGUUAACCGAGGCACCAGUUUUGACAUUGCCAGAAUCGGGUAAAGAUUUUGUAGUGUAUAGUGAUGCUUCUUUGAGUGGUUUGGGUUGUGUAUUGAUGCAGGAUGGGAAGGUAAUAGCCUAUGCAUCUCGUCAAUUGAAACCAUAUGAAAGGAAUUAUCCCACUCAUGAUCUUGAGUUAGCAGCUGUGAUUUUUGCAUUGAAGAUUUGGAGACAUUAUCUUUAUGGUGAAAAAUGCUACAUCUAUACUGAUCAUAAGAGUUUGAAGUAUCUUCUUUCUCAGAAGGAAUUGAAUUUGAGACAAAGGCGUUGGAUCGAGCUUCUGAAAGAUUAUGAUUGUGUUAUAGACUAUUAUCCGGGAAAAGCUAACGUUGUAGCUGAUGCAUUAAGCAGAAAAGCUGUAAUUGAAUUAAGAGCAAUGUUUGCACGGCUUAGUAUCACUGAUGAUGGGAGUCUUUUGGCCGAAUUAAGAGUAAAACCGGUAAUGUUUGAUCAGAUUAGAUCAGCCCAGUUGGAAGAUGACAAAUUAUUGAAGAAAAGAGAGAUGGUACAGAAUGGCAUAGCAGAAAAUUUUAGUAUUGAUGAUUGUGGAUGCUUAAGGUUUCGAAAUCGGAUUUGUAUUCCAAAUACUUCUGAGCUCAAAGAGUUAAUUCUACGUGAAGCUCAUGAUAGUUCGUUUGCUAUGCACCCCGGAGGCACGAAAAUGUAUCGAGAUUUAAGAGAAUUAUACUGGUGGCCAGGGAUGAAAAGAGACAUAGUAGAAUUUGUAAGUAAAUGUCUGACUUGCCAACGGGUAAAGGCAGAACAUCAGGUUCCUGCUGGAUUGCUUCAGCCUAUUAAUAUUCCUGAAUGGAAAUGGGAUCGCAUCACGAUGAAUUUUAUUACGGGAUUACCGUUGUCAUCAAGCAAAAAGAAUGCUAUUUGGGUGAUAGUUGAUAGACUUACCAAGUCAGCACAUUUUAUAGCAGUCAGGACUGAUUGGCCGUUGCAGAAGCUUGCAGAUGUGUAUAUUCGAGAAAUUGUUAGACUACGUGGCAUUCCGAUAUCAAUAAUUUCAGAUCGAGAUCCUCGGUUCACAUCGAGAUUUUGGAGACAGUUACAUGAGUCGUUGGGUACUAGACUUAGUUUCAGUACAGCUUUUCAUCCCCAAACUGACGGACAGUCCGAACGGGUAAUUCAGGUACUAGAAGAUAUGCUUCGAACUUGUAUUAUUGAGUUUGAAGCAGGUUGGGAGCGAUAUUUGCCACUAGCUGAGUUUGUCUAUAAUAAUAGUUUCCAAUCUAGUAUUCAGAUGGCUCCGUAUGAAGCGUUAUAUGGUCGAAAAUGUAGAUCACCAGUAUGUUGGACUGAAUUGAAUGAAAGAAAAGUAAUUGGGCCGGAAUUGAUUCGUGAAACAGAAGAAACAGUCAAGAAGAUUCAACAUAGAUUAAAAGCAGCUUUUGACAGACAAAAAUCUUAUGCUGAUUUGAAACGUCGGGACAUUGAAUAUUCAGUUGGAGACAAAGUAUUUCUUAAGAUUUCUCCUUGGAAAAAAGUUUUGAGAUUUGGUCGGAAAGGUAAAUUGACCCCACGUUUUAUUGGGCCGUAUGAAAUAGUGGAAAGAAUUGGACCAGUUGCAUAUCGAUUGGCUUUACCUUCUGAAUUACAAAGGAUUCAUGAUGUUUUUCAUGUUUCGAUGCUACGAAAAUAUAGAUCAGAUCCUUCUCAUAUAAUUUCUACAGAAGAUAUUGAAGUUCGACCUGAUCUAUCAUAUGAAGAAGAGCCGGUUCAAAUUUUAGCACGAGAAAUGAAAGAAUUAAGAAAUAAAGAGGUUCCUUUAGUGAAAGUCCUAUGGAGAAAUCAUAAUGUUGAAGAAGCGACUUGGGAACCAGAGGAAACUAUGAGAGUACAAUAUCCUCAUCUCUUAUCAGGUAAAUUUCGAGGACGAAAUUUAUUAAGGGGGGAGAAAUGUAAUGACCUGAAAUUCACGGGCACCGAAAAAGUGAGUUAUAGGGCCUCCGUCUUAGUGAAAUAAGUUCGAAAAUAAUUAUUAAAAAUAUUUAUGAGCCUAGUGGUGUGUCUAAUUAGGAUCUAAUUAAGUGAAUUUAGCUUAAUUUAGAGUAAGUAAUAAAAAGGAUUAAAUUGAAUAAAGGGUAAAAGUUUAAUUAUAAAGCAAUAGAAAAUAAAAAGGAUUAAAAUGGCAAUUAAGCCAUUGACUACAAAUGAGGUGGCAUAUUGGUGAAAUAAAAUCAAAGAUUUUUUUUAGAUUUUAUAUAUUAUAAUGAUUAUUAUUAUGGUUUUAUAUUAAAUUGUUAUGAUUAUUUAAUUGAUAAUAUAUUAUAAAUAAAUUAAAUAGAAGACAAUUGUAUGGUAAUAAAAUACACAUGUGUAAGAAUUGUAUGGGUACAUUUGUAAUUUAAAUAUUUAAUUACUUAUAAUUUAAGUAUAAAAAUAUUUUAUAAUUAUUAAUUGUAUUAAUUAAAUCAUGAGAUUUUUAUUUAAUAAGAAAAUUAGAUAAUGACAUUUGUAAUAAUAUAAAUAUGUACACUUGUUUUAUAAUUAUUAAUUUACUUAAUAUUAAAGUAAAAGAUAUUUUAAUAUAUUAUAUUAAUAUUAUAUUAUGUUAAUAAAAUAAUAAAGUAUAAAAGAAUUAAAGAAAUAAAGAAACAAAAGGAAAUAGAAACAGAGUUGAAAACGGGAAGCAGGGGAGAAAAAGAGAAAGAAAAAGGGAAAGAAAAAUAAAAGAGAAAACUAAGGAUUUGAAGCUUGGAGUUAAUUUGGUAAGUCAAUUAAGUCAUUUUUAGUUAAUUUUGAUGUUUUAGGAGCUUUGAAACAAGAUUUUGAUGAAAUUAAGUUGAUAGUUCAAGAGUUCAUAUGUUUCCAAGUAGGGUUCAUGUUGGAAAAAUUAUGGAAUUAGGGAUUUAAUUGAAUGAAUUCUAAGUUAGAAUUGAUUAAGGGAUUAAAUUGUAAACUAGGCUAUAAGUUUUAUGUUGUAGGGACUAAAUUGAAGAAAUUUCGAAAUUAGGGAAAUAUGCUGGAAAUUUUAUAGUUAAAUAUAAGUUUAGACAAAAUUUGAAUAGAAAAAGAGAGUGAAUUGGAUUAAGAAAAUAAUUAAGUUUAGUUAGGAUUAAAUUGGGAAUAAGGUAGGAGUUGUUUAGAAAUUUAAUUAUUUAUUAUAAUUAAUGCUGUAAAUAAUAAUGUAAAUUACUAUUAUUUUCGUAGCCAACAAAGAGCCGGAAGCAUCAGCAUCGAAAGGAAAGGAGAAAGUCAUCGAGGACUAAAACGGGAGAAUUACGGUGUGUAUUACUAUAAUUCAAAUUUUAAUUAUUAUUGAUUGCUGAAAUUUUAAUUGUUAUGUAUGGUAAAUAAGACUUGAGGUAAGUAUAUGAAAUCGAUAUGAAUAUUGAGUGAAAAUGAAAGUGAUAUAAAUUGAAUCAAAUUGAAUUGAAUAAGUGAAUUAUGGAAUAUGUGAUUAUUUGAAAAGUGUAUUGAUUGAAAAUAAAUAAAUUGUGACAAAUGUAUGGUGUUGAUGGUAUAAACUUGUGUGAAAAUUAAUUUGUAUAUGAAUUAAGAUAAUAGAUAUUUGAAUUGAAUGAGUAUUGAAUAAUUUUUGUGUAAAUGAAAUUGAAAUUAGAAAAAAAAGUAAAAUAAUACCCUAUUAACUUGUCGGACUAGAUUCGAUACAAAUGGCAUGCCAUUGGAUUUGUGAUGUGAUGAAGAGAUUGUAGUUCGGUCGAGAAGAUGUUUCUAUCAUUAUAUACUUCGGUUUAUCCGAAUAGGCAUUUAAUGCCUUAUUGGUGUGUUUGGGAGGAUAUAUUAUACUGGUGUGUUAUGGAGGAUUUACAAUAUUCCGGGUGUGUUUGGGUUGGACAUUCUGGUGUGUUUGGAUGGAAUCCGCGUAUCUGUCAUAGUCCGAGCUUUGUUAAUAGGGUAAAUAAUUGAAAUGAAAUUUUGAAAAUGAGAUUAUUUGUUUUAGCACUAUUGAAAAGUAUGAGAAAGAAUGUAUGAACUAAAUUAUGAAUUGAGUUAAUAUGAGAAAAAUAAAUUAUGAAUUUAAGAUUUAUGAAGUAAAAUAAUUAUAUAUAAAAGUAGUUUAAAUAAUUAUAAAAUUUAUGGUUGAUGCUUGUAAUUUAUUAAUGUUAAAUAGUCUUGAUUUAUAGUAAUACCACUGAGUAUAUCCAUACUCAGCAUACGGUUGCUUCCAUCCGCAGGUUAGUAGAAGUCAAGUGUCCUGGCUCAGCAUCUAGAACAAUCCCGACUCCAAUACAAAUUUGGUGAUGCAUAUUUUUCUUUUGGGUAAAGGUGGCAUAUACAUAGGUGUUGUUUAGUCACUUGAAUAUGUAUAUUACUUUGGCUAGUGAAGGAUGAAUUAUAAAAUUUAGAUGGUUAAAUGAAAUGGUAAGGAAAGUACAUGAUGUUUUGAUACAUGAACAUUAAGUUGUUAAAUGAAUGAAGUUUUUAAUCAAUUUUGAAUGAUGCUAUGAUAAUUAUUAAGUUAAAAUUUUGUUAAUGAUAUAAAUAUUAGUUAUAUGAAUGUGAAAUAUUGGUGUUGGUUGUUUUGGUUUGAAUUUGCAGGAGGUUUAGGUAAAAAUAAGCAGAAAUGCUGCCGAAAUUUUUAUAAAAAAAAAAUUUGGAAUACUCGAACAAGUCCCGUUCUACUUUUAAUACGUGUUUGAACUUCGAGAGUUCAAGAUAGGGACUUAAUUAUUAUAUUAUACUAUGAAAGUUAUAUUAAUUGUAAAUUAUUCGUAAGUUGUCUGAUAUGUCCGGUAAUGCCUAAUAACCUCGUUCUGGUAACGGUUUGGGGUUAGGGGGUGUUACAUGAUGCCUCCAUUAAAGAAGGUGGCACCAAAAAUCAAUAUAUAUAUAUAUAUAUCUUUCAUUUACCUCUAGAAAUAUGAGUGAAAAUAUGGUGGGGUGAAAAUCUAUACGGGUGUCGUCUUAGGAAGUGGCGGCAUCCAUUGACACUAUAGAAAUUAGGUCAUUUUUUAAACAAUCUGAUACUAAAAUUAUUUGCAUACUUUUUUUAAUAUUUUUAGAUUAUUUAUCUAAAAAGCCAUAACACUUUUUUUAUUAAAAAAUUUAAAAUAAUUAUCAAACUUGUUUAAAAUAUUAAAUGUUGAAAAUAAAAAUUUCCAAUCAUUUACUAAAUACAUCCUAAAAAAAAAAUUAAAUGUAUUAUUUUAAUUAAAAGUUGAUUUUUUAUUUGGGUUGCUUUAGAAGAAAAACCUGCAAAUAAUCGACUAAACUGCUUUAAAAAAAAAAGAGUUUUCUUCAAAAUCAAUUAAAUGGAAAUAUUUUUUUUAUUUGUUAUUUAUAAGAUCAAUCAUUUCAUUACAGUAUAUUUUAUUUAUAUUUCAUUUUAAUGAAAUUAAAAUUUUAAAUUAAAUAAAUAUUAUUUAAAAAAUAUCUUAAUUAAAUUAGUAUUAAUAUUAUUAUUAGUCAUGGAUUAGAAUGAGCAAGCGGUGGUACUAAACAUUUUAUGAAAAACAAUAGAAAUUAAAAAAAAAAUUUGAAAAGCGACGAAAGGUGCCGUUGUUGGCGAAUCUGACCAACUUCAAAAAUCAAAACACAUAGUAUUCCAUAUUGACACAUGUCUAUUUAAUCUCAUGCAUGCAAAACUUGUCCUCGUCUUCUCCCUUCUUAACUUUUUCCUUUCUCUUUGUAUCUCUUGUUGUCUCUUAGCUUGCACUAGUUCUUUAAAAAGAAAAGGAAGAAAAAAAAGGUGCUUGGGAGUGAGAAUCAUUGAAGGAAAAUGUGUGGGAUUUUAGCAGUUUUGGGUUGCUCUGAUGAUUCUCAGACUAAAAGGGCUCGAGUGCUGGAGCUUUCCCGCAGGUAAACAAUCUCUAGUUCUUACCACAUUUUCUUUUCCAUUUUGGGGUCUAUUCUCUUAGCCUAUUUUAAUGUUUGCCUUUAAAAUGGUUGAAUAAUCAUUUUCCAAACAGGUUUAAAUUAUGAUAAUUUUUUGUUAUUGCUUGCAAAGGCAAGGAGAAGAAAAAAAACAGGAAUAGUAAUUUAAAGAUAGAUCAUCUCCAAACUUGGAGGAGAACCCAUGCUAUGUGGAGUCUUGAAAACAGAGGACAAAGGAACUUCGAGGAGCCCAUGCUUUAACAUUCUAAAUCAAUCAUAUACAUAUGAAAAUGGAAAAGGAUUAUAUUAAACCGAGAACACACGUGAUCUUGUAUCUUUUACCGAUUGUUCAAUGUUAUACUAACAUUUUUUCUUCAUAGUAUUGAUACAUCAUUUUGGUAAUUCUUUUAAUUUGGAGUUUAGAUUCUGGACUCCAAACCAUAAAUCCUGAACCCUUGAUCCCAUAUUUUGAAUCCUAAACCUUAGAUCAUGGACCUUAAAUUUUGGACUUUAAAUACUGAACCUUAACUUUAAACUUUGAAUCUUGAAUCAUGAACCCUGAACCCUUUGAGGUUCAAGGUUUAGGAUUGAGAGUUUAGAUUACAAAAUUAUCAAAAUGACAUGUCAAUAACAUGAAAAAAAUAUUAAAAUAAAAUUAAAUAAUUAAUAAAAAAUACAAAAUGAUGUAAGGUCCCUAUUUUAUGCAAUUCUUUCUCAUAAAAAUGAGAAAAAUAAUUUCCUUUAAAUUUAACAUUCGCGGUGCUUAGUUACUGGUAUCAACGUCGGCUAUCGGCCGAAAUUUAACAAGAAUAUGGAAAAACUAAUAGCUUAAAUAGAGAGUAAAUAAUAAGCUGAAAUAUAUAUAAUAAUUGGAUGGUGUGUGAACAGAUUGAAGCACCGUGGUCCUGAUUGGAGUGGACUCUACCAACACGGAGACUGCUAUUUGGCCCAUCAACGCCUUGCCAUCGUUGAUCCUAAUUCAGGUGACCAACCUCUCUUUAAUGAAGACAAGAGUGUUGCUGUCACUGUAAGCCUCUCUCUCUAUGUUUCAAUAGUUGUACAUCUUCAGCCUAUAUAUGAUGACUCAUUUUUAACUUUUCAAAAAUUUAAGGGCUAAUUUAUGUGGUGAAAACUAGGUGAAUGGGGAGAUUUACAACCACGAACAACUGAGGAAGAAGUUGGUAAACCACAAAUUCAGGUCUGGCAGUGAUUGUGAUGUUAUUGCCUAUCUGGUAAAACUCCCCAUUGCGAAACUUUUGAGGGAUACAACUGAUUUGGGGUGCAAUUUUUUCAAAUAUAAAAAUUGUUUCUUAAACUUGUACUAUAUUACAGUAUGAGGAGUAUGGGGAAGACUUUGUGGACAUGUUGGAUGGAAUCUUCUCAUUUGUGUUGCUAGAUGCCCGUGACAAUAGCUUCAUUGUUGCUCGUGAUGCUAUUGGGAUCACCUCCCUCUAUAUCGGCUGGGGCCUUGAUGGUAUUACAUCUUGCUUUCUCUAAUAGAAUUUAUUUUAGUUAGCCGUUGUUUUACGAUUUUGACACUCUUCAGUUCACUACUGAUAUUUAUAGUAAUUGACCGCUCGCGAUAGAAAAUGUAUGUGGGGCUUUGAGGAGACUGGUUUUGCUAAGUUGUUUUACUUGUUAUAUAUAUUCAGGUUCGAUUUGGGUAUCAUCAGAGUUGAAAGGAUUGAAUGAUGCUUGUGAACAGUUUGAGAGCUUUCCGCCUGGACACAUGUACACUAGCAAAUCAAGAGGACUCAGGAGGUGGUACAAUCCACUCUGGUUCUCUGACUCUAUUCCAUCGGUUCCAUAUGAUCCGUUUGUUCUCAGACAUGCACUUGAGAAUGUAAGAAUGAAGAGUUGCUAUCUGAAAAACAUUGGACACCUACAUUAAACCAAGAAACAAUUUUUUGUUCUUUGGCUUUCUGUAAGUUUAUCUUACGUGUUAUAUGUGAUAUAUUUGUAGGCUGUGAUCAAAAGGCUAAUGACUGAUUUCCCUUUUGGAGUUUUGCUAUCCGGAGGCCUUGAUUCUUCAUUGAUUACUUCUAUAACGGCUCGGUACUUGGCUGCUACCAAGGCUGCCAAACACGGGGGAAAGCUCCAUUCUUUCUGUAUCGGCCUAGAGGUAGUCUAAUAGUAUAGGAUGAAUCCUUUCAAGUACAGCUUUAAAGGAUUCAGUUGGUCUUAAAAUUUGCUUAUCGAUAUCUCUGCAGGGUUCACCCGAUUUGAAAGCUGCAAGGGAGGCUGCAGAUUAUUUGGGCACUGUCCAUCAUGAGUUUCACUUCACCGUUCAAGUACUGACCCAAGAUUUAGUAUUAGUUUUAAUUCAAGCAUGGGCAUCUAACUUUGCUAAUUUUCACUCCGAUGUGGCAGGAUGGAAUUGAUGCGAUUGAAGAUGUUAUCUACCACAUUGAAACCUAUGAUGUGACCACAAUCAGGGCAAGCACUCCUAUGUUUUUGAUGGCACGGAAGAUCAAAUCACUAGGAGUGAAGAUGCUUAUUUCUGGUGAAGGAGCCGAUGAGGUUUUUGGUGGAUAUUUGUAUUUCCACAAGGCACCAAAUAAGGAAGAAUUCCACCGUGAAACUUGCCGCAAGGUACUUGGUAGUCACCACUUCAAUUACCACCAUUGGAAUCCGAAAGCAAUGAUUUAACAGAAACCUAGUUUUUUUUUUUUUUUGGAUACAUUUGUCCAGAUCAAAGCACUUCAUCAGUAUGAUUGCCUGAGAGCUAACAAAGCAACAUCAGCUUGGGGAUUGGAGGUUCGAGUACCUUUCUUAGACAAAGAAUUUCUCAACGUUGCCAUGUCUAUAGACCCCAAAUCAAAGAUGGUAUGUAAACAAGUAUUAUUUUUAGUAAAAAGGACCAGCAUAUUGUUCCUAGAAAAGCUUGGUUUGUUCAUCAAUGGGAGAGAUUUAGACUGAUCAAGAAAGCUUCUCCAUGUUAUGAAUCAGAUCAAAAAGGAUGAAGGACGCAUUGAGAAGUGGGUUCUUAGAAAGGCAUUUGAUGAUGAGGAGUGUCCAUAUCUGCCUAAGGUCAUAUAACAUCUUUUUUAUUUCUUAAUUUUAGAGUUAGUACCCAAAUAAACUCUCCUCUUCUAUUUGAUGCCCUGCAGCAUAUCUUGUAUCGACAGAAAGAACAAUUUAGUGAUGGCGUUGGUUAUAGUUGGAUCGAUGGUCUUAAGGCGCAUGCUGCGGAUCAUGUAAAAACUGCCUUCUUAUUGCUUUCAAUUGAAUAACUAUCUAUCAUUUCCAUUUGUUGAUAAAUUCUAACCUACCUUAUACUUUCAGGUGAGUGAUAAGAUGAUGGUUAAUGCUUCUUGUAUCUUUCCUCACAACACCCCGAAGACAAAAGAAGCAUAUUACUACAGGAUGAUUUUCGAGAGAUUCUUCCCUCAGGUGAUUUCUGGUUUGAAGUCUUUAACUUUGUCAAUAGCAUCUGAUUGCUGAAGUGAUCAUCCUUAUUUGCUGGUUUUAACAGAACUCGGCUAGAUUGACAGUCCCUGGAGGAGCUAGCGUGGCAUGCAGCACUGCUAAAGCUGUUGAGUGGGAUGUUGCCUGGAAGAACAACCUUGAUCCUUCAGGGAGGGCUGCCCUGGGAGUCCAUCUCUCAGCUUACGCAAUGUGCAAAUCUCCUGUCCUUUAGACCUUAAUUUUUUAUUCGACCAACUCGAGUCUAGGUACUUCAACUAAUUUCGCAAUUAGGGUUGGUUAUCUCAUCUUUAAAUUAGGGGCGUUUGUUAUGAGAACUUUGUUAGAGCUUUCUAUUCCAAAAUUAAGUUUAGCUAUGACGAUGAUAGUUUAACUUUCAUUUUCGUCAGUUCUUUUGUUAUGGGUGGAGAUGUUGAUAUAUUUGUUUCCUUCUUUGCGAGACAUCUUUCCAUUCCUAACAAGGGUGACGGUAACAGUUAUGGCGGAUGGCCUAUUCUCUCCGGACCUUAUCUAACCUAACAAAUAUGUCGUUGACCUUAAUUUGCACGAUAGGAUUCUUCAUCUUAUUUUUACUUGGAUAAUGGUCCCUACCAACAAGCAUUACGAUAAUUGGAUACAGCAUUGCUUUCACAUCAACCGUCACUUUGACUUAGUUUUAGUUAUUUUUCUUAACAUUGUCAACAUCAUCCGUUUUUCUGUGUCUAGUAACAAAACGCUUAGGUAUGGAACUUUCUUUUCCAAUAUUUUUCGAGCCUUGAAGUUAAAAGUCCAUGUUGAUCUCGGUCGAGCUAGUACCUUUUAUUUCGAUAUAUCGGCUUCUUAUAGUUGUGGUUGGAUUAAACGCGAUAGUUAAUGGAUUCACAACCCCGAUUGUGUUGGUCAAUAAGCACAAGGAGCGACUGCUGAUCAACAGGAGGAAGGCGUGUCACGUGAAGAUGAUCCUCCGCCUCCGAGAAUGUAUAUUCCCGCUUUGAUGGCUCCUUUGUCUCCUUGUACCCUUAGUCUUUUUGCUGCUAUACAUGGGUUUCUCUCCGUGUUAAUGCUCAGUUUGAUGUAUUAAUCAUCUAUGUUAAUGAUCGGUACAAUUUUUUGGAUGACCAUAUCUCGGACGUUGCCCAUCGGUUCCCUGAACUUUUGGACGCUUGGCUUAAUACUCUUAGUAGUUGUUUGAUUAGAAUGUUUGUUACUUAGAUUGUUUAUUUCUACUUUGAAUGAUACUAUGUUAUGUCUCUAUUUUUCUUUUAAUGUUAUAUGCAUGUUACUAUGGAGAUGUAUAUAUAUAUAUAUUUCUAAUAUGAUUGUGAUGUGUUUUUUUACUUGUGUUAAUACUUUAACAUAAAUAUAAAAAAAUCUCAUUGUUCAAAUAUAAAUUUAACGCUUGCAUUGCACGAGAUAAAUAUUAUAUGAUAUUGUUGGUAUUGUUCUAUUAAAGGUUAUUGUUGGUUAGAGUGAAAAAAAAAGUCGGUUUAGAUCAAUUUAAUUAAUUAAUUUAUCAUAUUUGAUUUUUCCAAUUUCAAUUAAGGUUAUUAUAUUGGUUAGGUUGAUUAAAGGUUUGACUAGGUUAAUUGAUUUUCGAUUGUUGAAAUUUGUUACUAAAUUGAUUAACUUAACUAAGUUUUUAUAUAGGGGCAUAUCCAGGGAGUUGGCAGUAGAGCCCGGCCCGGCCCAAAGGCCUGCCUAAAAUGUGAGAGGGUUUGGGCAAAAAUAUAGGCUAGAAAAAUGGGCUUGGGCAAAAAAGUAAGGUCCGUUUAAAAAUGGGCCAGGCCUCGGGUAAGGCAUUUUUAGCCCGGGCCCGGCCCGAAUUUACUAAAUAAAAAAAUAUUUUUUAAUAUUAUUUUCUCCCUAUUUUGCUACUAUUUUAGUAUUAUGUUACUACUAUUUUGUUGUUAUUGUUUGGAUAUUAUAUAAAACUUAUUUUAUUGUUAAUUUUUUUAUUAUUUUAAAGACAUUUGCUACUUUUGUUAUUAUUUUAGAGACAUUUGCUUGUUAAAUUGCAUCUAUUUUAGUGUUAUUUAAGUAUACAUAUUUUUUAAAAUUUAUUUUCAAUUUGUUAAAAAAUAUUUAUUUUAAUUUUUUAUUAUUUUUGAUGGUUUAUAUAUAUUUUAAAAUUAUAUAAAAAUAAUAUAAAAAUUAAUAUGGACUUGCCAGGUCGGGCUUGGGUAAAAUUUUAGGCCAAUUUUUCGGGCCAGGCAGGGCUUGGGCCUAAAUUUUUAGUUGGGCCCAGCUUGGCCCGGCCCAUGCACACCUUUAGUUGGCAGGGCUGCGACCCCCUAAAAUAGAAAAUUAUACUUUGACCCCCUCUAAAAAUGAUAAAAAAUUAAUUUAAUCAUUUAAAAAUUACAUUUUUACUAUAGUAAAAAUUACAAUUUAAUUUUGGCCUCCUAAAAAAAUUUACUGGCUUCACUUGUUUAUAUAUAUAUACAUAUAUUGUUUAUUUUAAAUAUAUUUAUACUAUAUAUUUUUUAAAUUAAAUUCAACCCAAAUUACAAACUUAAUCCAAAUUCAAUAACCCAAUUAUUAAUUAUUUAACCCAAUCCAAUAGACCAAACCAACCCAAAUGUGAACUAUUUUACCCAACCCAAUUCAAGAUAUAAUAACCUAUGUAUAGCGCAAGCCACCAUCUCCACAUUUUCAAUUAAUAAGGAUUAAUAUCUCAUUUGGUACUUAUAUUUAGUUUCAAUAUUUAAUUUGGUAUUAGAAUUUUUAUUUCAAUUUGGUAUCUAAGUUUGGUUCUAUAUUCAAUUGAUACCCAAGUUAAACAACAUCAUGUGACCUGAUGAAUUAUUUGACAUGUCUACUCUAGGUAACAAAUUAAAUAUUGAAAUCAAACUUAGGUAUUUAUAUAUGCAAAGGCGAAUCCUUUUGAGGCCUAGGCAGCUUGGCCCCUAAAUAUUGGGAAAUCUUGAUUUUUCCCUUCAAACUUUUAGAAAAUUUUGAUUAGGCCCCUUCAAAUUUUUAAAAUUCUUAUUAUACCUUCUAUUUUAUUUUUUUUCUUUGAAAAUUAUAAUUAACUUCUCUUAAAAUUUUUAAAAAUUCUUAUUAAUCUCACAAAAAUUUCAAUUAGACCCCAAUUUUUUAAAAAAAGAUUUCAUUGAACUUCUAAUUUUUUUAAAAAAAAUUUACUACACCCCUUCAAAAUUUAGCUCCCAUUACAGGAUCCAUCCCUGCUUGUACGAGACAGAGAAAAACUAAGUAUGCAUUUGAAAAAACUCAAGCACCAUGCAUUGGCAAAUUAUUUACACUACUACUACAACUUUUACCAGAGAUAUAAUUUAUAACUUCAUAGUUGAUAAAGUUAAUUUUUUAAUAAUUUAUUUAAUUGAACCGCCUAGAUCAAUUAAAUCGGCAAAUUAAUAAUCUAAUCAAAGAGGAAUCUGAUUUUAAAUAGUUUAAUAAAAAAAAUGCCUUUGUGGGCUAACUUCUCUAUGCUUUGGAGUAUUUAGCCAGAAAAAAAAAACAUAUGAUUAGGGGGAAAAUGUCAAUAAUAUAAUUUAAUUACAAAUCAGCAAUCAAUUCAACUUUAAACCAAAUUAAGGAAGAUGGAAAGGACAAAAGAAAACACCAAUCAAUUUAUAUGAAAUUAAUUAUACGAAUAUUUAAGUGUUUUAAAUUUAAAAUUUAACAAAUUCGUUUCACGCAAAGGGAAGACAAAAAGAGUUAGGAACUGAAAUGAUACCCUUUUUUUUGCGUUAAAAAAAAGGUUAUAUUUAAAAAUAAAUUCAAUUUUAUUUUUUCCACGAAAAGAGAAAAAAAAUUGACAAUUAAUAAGUUUAGAUAGGUGUUAAAUAGAUACCUAAUUUGGGAUUUUUUUUUUUAGCUAUAAACUACAACAAAUCACUAAGCUUUUUUUAUCUUAAAAAAACCUUAAUGAACAAAAAGACUAAGCCCUAUAAUCACUUAAUAUAAAUUAACGUUUUAAUUAAAAUAAAAAUUUACUUGAAUACAGAUAAAAAAAGAUUUAUUUAAGGGUAAAAAGUAUAACUUACGGAUAAAUUUUAUGAGCAUUUUAACAUGAAAAAUGUAUAAAUAAAAAAAUAGGAGUUUUUUUUAAAAAUUUAUAAACAAAUUGAAAAUAUAACAUGUGUUUUAUAUAAUAUAUUAAAAACUAAAAAUUACAUAAAGGAAUGAACGUUUGUGAUGCCCUGCUGAUGUGUAUAAGGUAAUUUUCCUUUCAAUAUUCUAUCCCUUAUAAUUCCAAGUCUACUUCUUAGCUCCUAUCUAAUGUAUCCACUCAAAGAUUGAUUAAUUCCACGUGGCCCAAUAACAAAGAAAUUGCUACCAUCUUUUAGCCAAUAAAAUCCCAUUUUUAGAUUCCCUCCAAAUCCUUGGACCAGCUUUAUCCACUUCCUUCUCUUAACCUUCAUACACACAGUUCAAACUUCCCCCAAUCUCCCAAAAAAAAAAAUAAAAUAAAGAACACACAACAAUGGCCGCCAACACACUAAUGAGCUGUGGCAUAGCCACCACAUUUCCUUCACUUCUUUCCUCAUCAAAGUCCAAGUUCAGUGGCGCCGCCGUAUCGUUGCCUAGUGCUGUUGGUACCAAUGUUGGCCACCGUGUUAGCAUGUCAGCUGAUUGGAUGCCUGGUCAACCUAGACCACCUUACCUUGAUGGCUCAGCACCAGGGUAAGGUUUCAAAGUAGCUAAAAAAAUUAACAACAAAUGUAUUUAUAGCCAUUUUUCUUACAUCUAAAGCUUUUUUUUUUCAGUGACUUUGGGUUUGACCCACUAAGACUUGGUGAGGUCCCUGAGAACCUUGAGAGGUACAAAGAAUCUGAGUUGAUUCACUGCAGAUGGGCUAUGCUUGCUGUUGUAAGUGUUCCAUCUUUGUUAAUUUAAUUAGCAGACAAAUUGUAUAGAAGGUUCAUGUGCUAUGCAUCUUUUACAAAUUUAAUCUCAUUUAAUUAUUCAAUUCCUAGUUCAAAUUUGGGUUAAUUUUUGCAGCCAGGUAUAUUGGUACCAGAGGCCUUAGGGUUGGGAAACUGGGUAAAAGCUCAAGAAUGGGCAGCAAUUCCAGGUGGCCAAGCCACUUACUUAGGGAACCCAGUCCCAUGGGGUACCCUCCCCACCAUCUUGGUCAUUGAAUUCCUAUCCAUCGCCUUCGUUGAGCACCAACGAAGCAUGGAGAAGGACACCGAGAAGAAGAAGUACCCCGGCGGCGCUUUCGACCCCUUGGGAUUCUCCAAGGACCCCAAAAAGUUCGAAGAAUACAAGGUCA